AAAAUUUAAUCUACAUUGAUCAUUUACGUUUUAGUUGUGGUUUUGAUAUUUGUACUGUGUUUGAACUCUUUUUAAUUUUUAUAUGAAAACACGAGAAGGAUUAUUGAAUUUUAUAAUGUUGGAUAUUUUUUUUUCUUCUUAUCUAAGAUUUAAUAUUAAUAUUUGAUCAAGAUUAAAUUUUUAGUGUUAUUUUGUUUGAAAUUCUAAAAAAAAAAAUUGAAAUUUUGGGUUGAGUAAGAGUAUUAAGAUUAUUAUUUUUCUAAAACUUUCAUGUUUAAAGGUCUCAUAAUGCUCCGUGCUGGCAACAAUUUAGAAAAAUAGAUCUGUAGGAUCAUAAUGAAAACUAGCAUAAUCUGAUUAGUUUUUUUUAAUUAUAUUUUUUAUUAUUAUUUAAAUUUUAUUUAUUUAUUUAUUGUAUUUUAUUUUUAUUUCAGAGUGUAUUUAAUAAAUCUUGAUAAUUAUUUUGUCAAAUUAAUUAAUCGCGUUAAAUGAAUUUUGCUCAAAAUUUUAUUGUUAAAGUUAAAUAGCGUCUUGAAUAGAUAAAAUAGUUACGAGUUAACAAGUGACGAUCUAAAACCUUUAAUGUUAGACAAAUUUAGGCAUGUUUAAGAUCUAUCCAUCUUAAUUAAGAAUGCGGCAUACGCAUCUUUUCAAGAUAUUUAAAAAUUCAAGGAUGCAAUCAUGCACCUUGACAAAUAUUUUUCUAAGAAAUUAAUUUUCACCGAUUUAAUACAAGAGUUAUAGACAGCUAUUAGACAUUAAAAAAUAAGCUAAUUAGGCCUUAACAUAAUUUAUUCAAAAUAAUUUAAGUCAAGAUAAGUCAAUGAAAGCGACCGUGCUAGAACCACGGGACUCGAGGGGUGCCUCACACCUUCCCCUCGGUCAACAGAAUUCCUUACACGGUUUUCUGUUUUCGCAGAUUAACAAAAAGUCAUUUUCUUUUGACCAGGGAUUCAAAAAGGUGACUUGGAUCACCAUAACUCAAUUUCAAGUGGCGACUCUGUAAAUAAAUUAAUCCCUAUUCAAACCCAUCAGUUUAAUUGAAAAAAUCCUUCGACUCCAAACUUUAGGCGAAAAUGGUGUGCGACAUUAAGAUGUAUGUGCGGGCGUACUAGGAGAGAUAGAGUUAGGAACGAGGAUAUAUCAGAGAAGAUGAGAGUGGCUCCUGCGAUGAUCAAGGUGAAAGGCAAAAUUGAGAUAGUUCAGACAUAUAAAUAGAAGACAUUUAGAUGCCCAAUCCACCUAUCAAACGUUGUAUAACUUAUACAUAGUUUAAGUUAUAAAUGUAUAAUUGUCUAAAUUGCCUUCAAUUUUGAUAAAAAUGUAAUCCUAAGAAUAAAAAUAACUCUCCAUUAAAGACAAAGUACUUUUAGAAAAAAAACUUAAUACCAUUUAGAGUGUCUAAACUAAACUAUGAUAGUCAUUAGUUCGAACAUUUUUGUAUACAUGUAAUUUUUCUCCUUAGUUAUUUGUGUGACGGUAAUUUAUCAUGUUCCUCUUUAAUUAACUACACUUCUUAUCUUCAAAAUUUUACGGCAUAUUUUAAAUUUUUUUAUACUUAAUAAAAUAACAUACAAAUAAUAAUUUAUUAUUAUAUAUAUUUAUUCUUAAUUAACGUUUGAUACACGUGCAACGUACGUAAUUAUUAUUAUUAUUAUUAUUAUUAUUAUUAUUAUAAUAAUAAUAAUAAAGGAAUAUAUGUGUAGUACUGGGUACAGUGACUUAGAAUCCAAGUAAAGGAUAUGAUCAGCCAGCAAAUAAAAUACUAGUGUUUAAAUUUUAUAUAUAAUACAGUAGUAACUGAUUUUUAUACCAUCGGGUCAUUUAAAGAAUAUUUUAAAAAAAUAAAAGCAGGUAAGUUUUUUUUCAAAACGUGAAAUUUAAAAUCUUGAGAAUAAAAUAAAAUAACUGUAGUUAAGUGUUAACAUAUAAAAAUGAUAUGAUGACGUGAAAAAACUUUUUACACUGACAAUAUAUAUUAUUUAAAUUCAAUAGAAGUAAAAAAAAAAAAAAAAACACCAUCGCUGAGUGUUGUGAAAUGGUGGCAUCCCUUCAUAUAUCUUUAGUCGGAGCUGAAAUUCAAGCCCUGGAAAUGGAAUAAAUCUUAUUGGGAAUGUCGCUUUCAAAAUAAACUUGACAAUGCAUUAAUCUGAAUUAAUCAGAUUUCAAUACGAUUAACGAGCACCAAAAAUAUAUAGCAGAUAAGGAUUGACAAAAGCUGUCAUAAUUAUUUAUAAUACAAUCCAUGCGUUAGAAAGAAAUGAUCACACAUUAUACACUGCUCUAAAAUUCAAUUAAUUAUUUUAUAGGAAUAUAAUUCAGUAUAUAUCCGUUAAAACAUACUGAUGAGUGAUGAGUAUCAAAUGGCUCCAUGAGGUUAAAUUGUCAGAGAUUGUAUAAUUAUACUUAAUUUAGUUUUAAAACAUAGUAAUUAAAUUAAUCUUAUUAAGUUGCCGACAAAAAAUUGUGCUUGCAGAGUGGGGUCAUUGAAUCAUAAUUCUGUUAAUUAUACACUGAUUCGGUGACAGAUUUAAAAUUUAAAGUUUAUUGUUUUAGGACUUCAGUCUCGUCCCCUCAAUCGCCCUCUCUCUCCUUUACGUUGAGUUUUCAGUCUUUUCACUUUGUUCGAGUUGAAUUGUAUCGUUCCUCUCACCUGAUUUGGUCGAGAAAGAUGAACCCGACCACAUUUUUUCGAAUCAAAAGAAUUAAAAAUGAAAUUUCAGAAUCUAAACAACUCAGUUGAGAGCAUCGUGACUAAAAGCAUUGAUUAUCAAAGAAUGAUCAUGAUCGGAAUAACGCAAAUUGACUAUAUGAGCCUGUGAAAGAUUUUCAAGUUCAGACUAUGAUGAUAGAUAUUAUUGAACUGAAUGUAAGCUAAAGCUACUAGAUUCUGUUAAAUCCGUACCCUAACUACAUACUUCAACGAGCUCCUGUUUUACCUUAUCAAUAUAUAAAACACAAAUUUGUAAAUGGUUGGAUGGUAAAAGAAAUAGAAACAUAAAAAAAAAAACAUGAAAUUAGCUAUGAAAUUUAUCGGUAAUCUCAGCUAAUCCAUCGCUUGUUCUUAUAAUUUGUCAUUAAUCCGUAUCUAAAUAAUAUUAACAUGAAUUUUCGAUGUUCCGAUAUAUAUGAAAUAUUAUCCGUAACUAAUUCCUCAUUUUCUAGUAGCGUAAAUAUACUAUUGGUCAUUCCAUCAUUUUCCAAAGAAAAGGAAAAAAUAACUGGACUUUAAUUUAUAAAGCAUCCCAACUAAUUAAUCCAUGAAAGAUUCAAGGGAAAUUAAAGUUACCAAUAAAGUAUUAGCAGCUGUUACACUAAUAAUAAUUAAUCCUAAUUAAGGAUGAUGAAAAGGGCCUACAUCUUCAUUACACUCACGUUCUAAAAUCCCUCAAGGGAACAAAUUAAAGGUCACAAAAGGUGACAAAAAAUUAUUAAAUCAGUAAACAAUAAGAAAAAGAAAAAGUUUAACAGCAAAAUAAGAGAAAAAAAUUUGGCAUGGACCUAUUUCUCAUCAUACUAGAAGCUGGGGUUAUUCUUAAUGGAGAAACCCUACAAUUUUUUUAAUUUAUCUAUUCUGUGAUCUUAAAUAUGUCAUAUAAUAAAAUUUAUGUACAAUAUAUGCUCAAUCGAUGUAUAAUAUGUGCAUAUAAUCCAUGUAUACAGAUUAGGAAAGUAUAUGUACGUUGAAUUGACCCAUUAUUUGGGUAAAGAUCCCUUUCAGUUAUCAAUUUAUACUUUGUUCAUUCACCCAAUAAUAUAUACUGAUAGUUUAAUAAUUUUUUCAUGCAUUCGCUUAAAUUUAAUUUGAUUAACAAGUUACUAAUUUAUAUUAAUAAAUAUAAUAAGUUUAUAACAUUAUUUUUAAGUGAGCUGGUUGUAAAUUUCUCACCAUUAGUAUCUAGAACUUAAAUUCAACUAUAACAACAACACUACAUGGGUUGGGUUGUGGUGUAGUUGUGGGACUGCUCCAUCCUUAAUUAGAGGUCUUGGAUUCGAGCCUUGGGUAUGAAGAAAAUUUUGUUGGGAGCGCUACCCUCAGAACAGGGCUUCGGUGUGGGGACUACCCCAAGAAUGGGCCCUGCAACACGCAAUCUAAAUUAGCCGGGACUCCAUUGUGGACACUGAACACCGAAUAAAAAAAAAAAAAAACUAUAACAACGAUAAUAUAUCUGAUGUACUCACCAAAAUAUGUCUGAAGAAGAAGAUAGUAUAUACAUAAAUCUUAUUCCUAUCUAGUUAAACUCAACUAUAACAUUCUUUUUAAAAGUAAGCUAAAAAGAAAAGUGAUCAUGAUGAAUUCUUUUCAUUAUCAUUUCUUCUUCCAACUACCUCAUGAUUAUUGUCACAUUCCUUUUUCUUCCCUCUUAUAAAUAUCACCCUUAUAACUAUUUUUCACCACAUUGAUCAUCACAUAAAAAUUAAAAGAUGGUUAGAACUAGAAUGCCAAAUUUUUGCCUAAAUAGAAUUAGGCCUCAUGUUCAUCAAAUUCGUUCACCACCUAUAAUACAAGCCACCAAAAACAAUAUUAUUAAUGAAGAAAAAAAUAAUCCUUCAUUAGCCAUGCCGGCGCCGAUGGGAGAAGUUUCUGGUGACGUGGCAAAACCGACACCGUUGAUUGGUCGAAAAAUCAUGAUUUUAGUUGAUUCAAGUGUUGAAGCUAAAAAUGCAUUGCAAUGGGCAUUAACUCAUACCGUUCAAAGCCAUGAUGUGCUUGUUCUUCUUUAUGUUACUAAACCUAAUUCUUCUAAACAAGGUUUUACUCUUUUGCCUUCUUUAUUUUCUUGUUUUUAUUCGAGCUAACGGUGAAAAACAUAUCUGAACUAUCGUCUUUUUGCAUAGUUUGGGUAGGAAAGAGGAAGAACAGAUAGUUGAAGUAUAUUUUAAUACAUAGAUAUUGAUAGUUCAGCUGAUUCGGAUAGAAAAAAAAAAUAACUAAUAAUUGGAAUAUGUGAAGCUCACGAAAAAGUCAUAGUCAAGUGUGUGUUUGACCAUUAUAUCUCUUUGUAUUUCAUUUCAUUUAUCUUGUGUUUUCAGUUUAAGUUAUAUAUAUCGUCGGUACAAAAAACUUUUCAUAACACUUCGUAUUUUAGCAUGUAAUUUGUAACGUCUUAGAAGAUAUUCUUUGAAUAAUCUAAUAGUAUAAAUAUUUUUUUACAACAUUUUUUGUUUUGUAUGAGAGCUAUAGCUAGUAAUGGAGGUUCUAUAAAGGGAAAUUUUUGUACUCAAUUUGUUGUUUUAUAUUUUUUUCUUUAUUUUUUUUUUCAGAUGAGGAUCCUAAGAAGGAAAUUAAUCCAAGAAUUUUUGAAUUUCUUGCUUCUAUGAAGAAUACUUGCAAGCUGAAAAGACCUGAGGUGUGUUAUACCUCAUCAAUUUGCCAUUUUAAAUAAUUAGAAAUUAUGCUUUUAUCAGAUAAAUAUUCUGAAACAUCAAAUAAAAUUACAUUAAUAAUAUGUAUAUAUUUUUUACUAUAUCGAUAUAUGUAAGUUAAAUCUUCCGUGACGACAGGUCCAAGUGGAAGUAACAGUCGCACAAGGCAAAGAAAAAGGUCCAAUAAUAGUAAACGAGGCGAAGAAACAUGACGUGGCACUUCUAAUAUUAGGUCAGAAGAAAAGAUCGAUGACGUGGCGGCUGAUAAUGAUGUGGGCCAGCAAUCGGGUGGUUGGCGGUGGUGGCAGUGGCGGUAACGGUGGUGGAGGGGUGGUGGAAUAUUGUAUUCAGAAUGCUAGUUGUAUGGCAAUUGCAGUAAGGAGAAAAAGCAAGAAACUUGGUGGAUACUUAAUUACUACCAAAAGACAAAAGGAUUUUUGGCUUUUGGCUUAAUUAAUUUGGUUAUAAAUAUUUGAUUAAAUUGAAGAUUUAUCUUAGUUCAUUAUGUGUUUUCUCUUGUAAAUUACUAGUAAUUAUAGUAAGUUAUAUGGAUUGGAAAGUUAAAUGGAAAAGUUAGUGAGUCAAAAGAUAAUUGAGCAAUGUGUCAUUGUGUCUUGUCUAACUUUUAUGAUCUUUUUCUUUUUAUGUUGAAGCUCUACAUUUUACACAUGCCAAAAAAGAGUUUCGUGUGGGGGUGCAGGUGGGGGUUGAUAAGUAUUCUAUAUGUUUGAAUAGAAGUAGUAGAAAGAAUUUGUUGGAGUCCAUUAGGUUAAAGGGUCCUUGGUUUCCUUAUAUGAUUUUGAACAAUGCUCCUUUAUUAGCUAACUUUUGAGCUUGAGUUAGGCCCAAGAUCCAUUCUUCACCCAAUUCAUUCGCUUUUGAUGUUGGGCCCCCAAUCUCAUACUGUCUACGCUUUAGAUGUCCAGUUCUGGGCGUGUGGGUGUUUGAAGGGGAGGAGGGUUAUUAGAAUCUCACAUCGAUGGGUUAAAGGGUCUUUGGUCUUCUUAUAUGGUCUUGAGCAAUCUCCCCCUUAUGAGCUAGCUUUUAAGGUUGGAUUAGACCCAAAAUUCAUUUUUCACAGAAUUUUAAUUGAAAAUAAAUUUCCUACUAUAAAAUUUGAAUUAGUCAAGCUCACUAAAUACUAAAACAUGACGAGUUGCUCUUACGUCUUGAUUGAUAAAGUUCGAAAUAUCACUCAUUUUGAACAAGGUUGAAAGCCUGAAAUGAUUGUCGGUGAUUUUUCACUUUUAAAUCUUAGUCGAUAAAGUUAUCUGGAAGAUGACACAUGUGUAGCAAUGAUUGGUAAAAAUUAGGUGAUACAUAAUUCGUGAUAAAUAGCAAGGACUAUUUCUUAUGUCUAUUAAUCCGGUGUUCGAUAUCCGUCUUGGAGCCCAACUAAUUCGGAUUCGCGCCCGGUAGGGCCCCAUUCGGGGGUAGCGCUCCCAACAGAGUUUUCUCCAUGCCCAGAGUCGAAUCCUCGACCUCUGAUUAAAGGUAGAGCAGCCCCAUCCGCUGUACCACAACUCAUCCAAUCAUUGUCAUAUUGUGCGAAAGCACGUAGUAUUAAACAAUCAAGUCGAGUUCAAUUCAAUUUUCGCUCAAUUGUACUGUAAGAACGUAUGAUCACAUUUGCGAUUGUUUGACCCAAUAUUGUAAAAGCCAAGUUGAAUUUCGACUCAAAUUCUUAAAACUAUUUUAUCUUAAGCUUAGCUUAAAGACUACUCUAUCCUAAAUUUAUGCACAACAAAAUAAAAAAAAGAAAAAAUAUAUAUUCAUGAGGAAAGAACAGUAAGGGCCCAAAUGAAAGCACAUGACAUUUGAGCUUUUUGAAGAAAUUAAAUAAUAACCCUAAAGUGAAGUGGAGUCAUGUAGGACAUAUUAACUUAAAGGGAACUUGAUUAUUCUUCUUUAGAUUUACUUUUAUCAAUUUGGAAUCCCUUGUAAAUUACUCCACCUUUUUACUAACUAACAUAUAAUAACAUUAGAUUUACCUUAACUACCACCAUUCUUACCCCUCACAAGUUAAAUUGUCAAAGUUUCUGUUUAUGAUCACACCCUUUUUGAACUCACGUAUGUGUGUAAAAGAAAAAGUGAAAUGAAAUAGCAGAAAAUCUAGUUAAGGGUUUUUAAAAAUAAUAAUUUAAUAUCGAUAAAUUAAUAAUAUUUUUUAUGUGAUUUAUUUAUUAAACAAGUUUUUACAUAUUCUAGGUAGAAUCAUUUAUAUAUAUCAAUUUUAUAUUUCUAUCCUACUAUUUGUACUCCUUCAACUUUAUUUUACUUGAUACAUAUUAACUUGAUACUAAUAUUUUAUGUAGUCAUUUAAUGAUAAAGAUAGUAUUAAAAGAAAAUGAUAAUUUUAUCUUGAUUUUAUAAACUGGACAAGUAAAUUGAAACAACUAUAAAAUAAAUUUUUUCUUGUAUUAGAUAUAUAAUUUAAAAUUUAAAUAUAGAUAAUAGAGUUUUAUAUUUUUCUUUAUCUUCCGAAAAAACAUAUUUUUUUAAGAGGGUCAAGUAAAACGAAAUGAGGUAAGUAUAUAUUUUGUUAAGAAACAAUUUAUAUACUAGUUUUGAAAUUUUUAAUGAUUUUGUUAAAGCGUGAUUUUUUUAACUGCUCUCUAAAAGUUUUCACCGCUUUUACUCUUUUUGUGACUCGAAUUCUCAAUCUUCGAGUUGAAAGUUAAAGUAUAUAAUUGGAGCUCUAGUUUUGUAUCUCUCUUAUGCUAAAUGUCGAGGCCCGUGAUAUAUGUUGUCGUUUGUUUCAAUUUAUGUGACACAAAUAGAAUUUAGAUAAUCAUAUUUUUAAUAUAUUUUUAGAUAUUUAAGUUGUCAACUAUUAUAAUUUAUAAUAAUUUUUAUGUAAUUUUCAAAUAAUAUAUGUUACUCUCCUGAGAAAAUUGAAGGAAAGAUGUCUUUUAAGUCUUGAAUGAAGGAUUAGUGACAUUGACCAACUUAAAGGGUCAAACAUCAUUAGGAAACAUGAUGAAGUUAAUUGUGGACUUGAUUAAUAUUUUCAAAACUUUCUAAUCUUUUCAAAAAUACAAAUCCACCCAACCCACACCCCACUUCAAUCCAAAUCAACCACUCUCUCUUUUCUCUCAACAGCUUCUCUCAACUCCCUCCCAACCAACAGUUCUGCAAAAUUUCUCCCUUCAACCGCCGGCGACUUCUACCUCCGGCGACAAAUAGUUGGGCUUCGAGUUCCUCUCUUUUCUCCCUUCAACCCCCGGUGACUUCUACCUCCGGCGAUAAAUAGUUGGGCUUCGAGUUCCCCUCUUCAAUUCAAAUCAACCUAUCUCUCAUCCCUCUCUCGACAACUUAUCUCAACUCUCUCCCAACCAACUGUUCUACAAAUUUCUCAUUUCAAUCCUCGACGACUUCAAUAUUCGAUUACAAAUAGUUGGGCUUCGAGUUCCCCUCUUCAAUUCAAAUCAACCUAUCUCUCAUCCUCUCUCGACAACUUAUCUCAACUCUCUCCCAACCAACUGUUCUACAAAUUUCUCAUUUCAAUCCUCGGCGACUUCAAUAUUCGAUUACAAAUAGUUGGGUUUCGAGUUUCUUUUCGACUUCAACCUUCAAUUGACGUGACAGCCUUACUCUUCGGCCACAACAGCUUCAAAUUCUUCGUCGUUCCUUUUCUUCUUUCAUUGGUAAAAAAUUAUGGUCUUUUUAGUUUUGAAGAAAAUGAGGAACUUAAGCGAACUUCUCUUAUAGUAUUGGUUAACAAUUUCAAUAUUUGUUGCAUUAAUUUAAAAUGAGGUCUGAAUAAAACCCUAAUUUCUGGUAUUUCUUCUCUUCUCUUUUCGAAGUGAAUUAUGAUAUUUUGUUGUUUGUUGCAUUUUUUAAGUUUGAUUUUUAUUGUUUGUGUUUAUAAAAACAAAACAACAAUUUGGGUUAAUUUGUUCUGUUUUUAUUCUUGGUAAAAAUGGCGAAAUUGCUUUUUUUUUUGUUGAACAAAAUCGUGAUACUAUUUUUUGUUUCCCCCAACAGAUUACCCAUCUGGUGCAACAUAUUAACCAUCUGAUGCAACAGAUUUAUCAUAUGAUGCAACAUAUCAACCAUCUGAUGCACCAGAGGAACCAUCAUAUUAUAAUCUGAUGCAACAGAUAAAUCAUAUGAUGCAAUAAAUUAACUAUCUGAUGCAAUAGAUUAACCACGUGUUGCAACAGAUUAAGCAUCGAACAAAAAUUCGAUGCAAUAGAAGAACCAUCUGAUUAAUGAUCCGAUGCAACAGAUGAACCUCCUGUUGGAUAAAAUUCUAUCAACUCUUCCAACAGGAAAUGUCCAAGACUUGAUUUUUCCAACUGAUCAUUCAUAUGCCGCGAUAAAUGACCCUAUGUUGGAAGAAAUCUAAACAAUAUUGACCGUUGAUAACUGUUCCAACAGAUCACUCAUGUGUUGCAACAGAUGUGUGACCUGUUGCACAGACCAUUCAUCUUUCUCAAUAGAUGAGUGAUAUAUUUUAUAUUGUCGUAACAGAUUACUCAGUCGUUGCUACAGCUUAGUUAACUGCUCUGACAGAUUACUCAUAUGUUGCAACAGAUGUGUGAUCUGUUGCACAAACCAUUCAUCUUUCUCAACAGAUGAGUAAUAUAUUUUGUAUUAUCACAACAAAUUACUCAGCCAUUGCUACAGGUUAUUUAACUGUUCCAACAUAUCUCUUAUAUGUUACAAUAAAUAAUGUCACAAUAGAUGUGUGAUUUGUUGCACAGACCAUUCAUCUUUCUCAACAGAUGAGUGAUAUGUUUUGUAUUAUCACAACAGAUUACUCAGCCAUUGCUAUAGGUUAUUUAGCUGUUCUAAUAGAUCACUCACAUGUUGCAAUAGAUGAUAUUGCAACAGAUGUGUGAUUUGCUGUACAGACCAUUCAUUUUUCUCAACAGAUGAGUGAUUUAUUUUGUAUUGUCACAACAGAUUACUCAGCCAUUGCUAUAGGUUAUUUAGCUGUUCUAAUAGAUCACUCACAUGUUGCAAUAGAUGAUAUUGCAACAGAUGUGUGAUUUGCUGUACAGACCAUUCAUUUAUCUUAAAAGAUGAGUGAUAUAUUCUGUUAUCCUUUUUCAGAUUACUCAUCCGCUGCAACAGGUUGGUAUAUGCUGCAAUAAAUAUACUACCUGGUGCACUGAUCUGUUGCAACUGUUAUUUUACUGUUUUGCUUGUUUGAUUUACUGUUAUCCUUUUUUAAUCAUGCAUUAAUCAACUAUAAUAUAUUUUUUUAUGUUCCUGUUAAUUUUAGAUAAUAUGAUUCUUAAAAGAACAGAAACCGAAUCAAGUCCAAGUAAAGAAACAAGUAAAGCAGCUAGGCUACAUCCACCACUCUAUGAGCUUGCUUUACAAGCGUUAUCUCAAUAAGGAGUAGAAUAUGAUGAAGACGGAGAGAAGAAAUAUUUCAAAAGAGAUGAUGCAAAUGCUAAUAGCCCUUCCACCGAAGAGUUGGUCAAAUUCUUCAGCAUUGAUCGUUAUCCUGUGAGAAUACAGUGCGAUGGUGCCGCUGAUUUAAUGGAUGAUUUCAUGGUUAAGUCAGCCAUGAAAAAAUCUUUCGACGCGUUCAAAAAAAUUCUUCGAGAACAAAAAUUGGAUGCUUAUUUCAGGGACAACUGCUUUGAAAAAUAUCUUGAUUUGCCGGAGGACAACAAUGCUCGUUUACAAAUGAAAAUAGUAUGUGAACUUCUCAAGCGUAGGUUUAUGUAUGAAAACAAAGAUAAAAUGGAUGAGGUGUGAAUAAAUUACUGUGGCAUGCCUGUUUGUUUUGGUUGGAAGGAGUUUGUCAUAGUUACUGAACUAAAAUGUUAUCCUCUUUCUCAAGUUAUACCUAUUCUAACCUAAAAAAAAUACCCUGCACACCCCAAAAAGGCAAAGGCAAGUCGUGUGAUUGUGAUGACCUGGUGUCCAUUAUUGGUCCAAGCUUCAAAAAUAAAAAUUUGAUAGAAGCGUUGAAAGGUAAAGGACUUUCAAAGAAGCACAAGCAGUAAUUGUGCUUGAUUUGGUAAGUACAUAAUAUUCUUUAGGCGAGAGACGUUAACAACAACAUAUGCCUCGAUUUAAUAAAGCUCUCUGAGGAUAUUGAGGCAUUUAACAGCUAUUCUUGCGGUUAUAAAAGCUUCAAAAUGACUGCCAAAUAUUUGUUGACUCUGUUAGCGCCAAAGACAGUCAACUUAUAUGGCUUCCCAUGGGCUUUCAUGGUAAAUGUUUGUUUCUUAUAUUAUGAUAUCAUUCAUUUUUUACUCAAUUAUGGUUUUGAUUGAUUGGUGUUAUUUUAUAGGCUUGGGCGUUUGAAGCCAUUCCUUAUUUGAGACAACAAGUGAACUACCGGAAAGAAGUUUUCUGUCCAAGAAUCUUGAGAUGGUUGUCGUCCAAAAUUGAUAAAAAUAUAAAAUUUCUUGAUCUCUUUAACCCCCGAAGGAUGCAGUAAGUAUAAUUAUAAUUAAUUUUUAUUUUAAUUAAUGAUUUUUUUGAAUGAUCUAAUCAUCAUUCUAUAUAUGUAAUGACUUAUGUUAGAUUGUGCAUCCAUCACUAGUUCCGACCAAUUGAGAGUUGAGGAUGUCAUUUUUCUUACUUUACGGUCUGUGCAAACUUUAUCGGACCCUAAGGUCAUCGACAGAACAAAAAUGGAAUUGUUUGAAGCAACAACCAUUACAAGAAAAAUAAUUUUGAAGGGUGGGCUUGUUGUUGUUAAUGGUCUUAGUGGUGAUGGAGUUGUUAGUGGUGGUAAUGAUGCUGCUGUUGGUACUAAUGAUGCUCCUAUUACAGUAUUUAAAGCAAAUCAUUAUGAGUAUGAUCAUACUGAUUAUACAGAUUUUGCCUCCCCCAACGAAUGUUUUGCAUGCAAAUGUCAAGACUGUAGGGUGAAACAUGAUGUAGUGAUUGUUGACACCCAAUUUUUGCUCUUUGUGCCUAAAAUUAACGUCCUCAGGCUUUUUGUUCGUUAAAGGGCACGAAGCAUAAUUUUCACAUCUUUUUACAAUUGUUUGAUAAAUUAUUGAUAAUUAUCCUUUCUUUAGGAUUUUNNNNNNNNNNNNNNNNNNNNNNNNNNNNNNNNNNNNNNNNNNNNNNNNNNNNNNNNNNNNNNNNNNNNNNNNNNNNNNNNNNNNNNNNNNNNNNNAUUUUUUAUAUUUUUUCAUUCAACAUCUAUAUUUUACAGUCCGCAAAUGCUGAGUCGGAUCAAUUAAUUAUGCUUUGAAAAUAUAAAUUAACCUUAUUAAUUAUGCUUUGAAAAUAUAAAUUUGAAUAAAUACAUUUUGUUUAGUCAUUUAAUAUUAAGGGUAGUACAUCUAGAAGUUAGAAUUAUUUCAUCUCUCAUUCAGACCUAAAUUUAUUUUAUUCGUCUCUCAUCUUUUUCUUUCUAUCCUCUUUAGGGUUAUCACAACUUUUUUCUUCUCUCCUCUUUAUCAUAAUUUUUCUUUCGGAUCUAAACCGAUCCAUAUCUUAGAUUUCUCAACUGAAAUUGUUGUUUUGAUCCCCUUUUGACACUAAGGUAUGAUUCACUAUUGCUCUUUCAUUCUCGUCUUCUUCUUUGCAAGUCAUUUAUAUGUUUUUUUAUUUAAUUAGCAUUUACCCAUAUCAUAUUUAUUUAAAAAAUUUGAAGGAACUUUUAAUUGUUGAAUAAACGAAUCGAGAAUUUUUAUUACAAGAUGCAAAAAAAAGUCGUCUGAUGGGAGAAGUUUAAAAAUUUUGUUGGCAGUAUCAUUUUUUAUGUAUUUUAUUAGUUUCUUUGUUGUUGAUAUUGUUAUUGAUGUUGUUGGUGGGGUUGGCGUUGUUGAAACUUGUGGUGUGAUGUUGUUGACAGUGGCGGAUGCAGGUUUUUUAGACGAUGGGUGCUUCUUAGCUUAAAAAUAGUGGAGUCCGAAUAAUCAACACAAGGAGUAAGAGAAAAAAAUAAAAGAAAGUUUAAAGUGAACAAGGAGAGAGGAGUUGGAUACCAAAAUUUAAAAAAUAUGUGCUGAGUGGGAAUUGAACUCAAGACCAAAGGAAAUAAAUAGCCUUAAGCACCCAUAAACAACCACUAGGCUAACCAAACUACACUUUAUACGGGUGCUCACUGAUUAGAUUAUAUACGUUUUUUUAUUAAUUUUCAUAUACAUAUAUAAAGUUUGAGAUGAGUUCAGUGUGUGCUCGCGCACCCGGAGGACUCCAUGUGGGUCCGCCCCUGGUUGCUGAAGGUGUUGAAAUAUAGGAUGUAUGCUUCUUUGUUGUUGAUGAUAUUGUUAGCACAAAUGUUGUUGUUUUCUUUAUUGUUGAUGUUUUUUAUUUGUUCUUUGUAGUUUAUGUUGUUGUUGAUGUUGCAACAGACGGAGCAACUGUUCGAACAAAUCAAAUCACCAGCAAGGCUGGUUAGAUGUAUUCCAAUAGACUCCAUAUCUAUUGCAUCAGAAUCCACAUCUGACGCAACAGACUCCACUUCUGAUGCAACAGACUCUACAUCUAUUGCAACAGAUGGAUAAUGUUCUUUCUGUGACAUUAAUUUUUUCCUUCUUCUUUGUAGAUAUAUAAGGAACUAAAAGUUGAUCAACUUUUGCCUGACUAUCACAAGAGGCUGCAGUAAAGAUAGGUUCGGAGGAAUAAGCUGCAUGUAGAUGGAACCACUUCAUAUGUGGGAGAUAUGUAUUACUGAUAAUGUUAUAGUAGAAACACACAUAGAGUAUACUGAUUUUGUGAAUGUUGUUUUUACCGAUUAGUCAUAGACUAUUCAAAUAAGAUAUCUACAAUUUUACAGGUAAGUUUAGUAGGUCUGUACUGAUAAGACAGAGGGACCAUGAAUAUGGUUCUGAUACCCUGUUAAGAUUUAAUGUCGGAUGUUGCUCAUGUUUAUUUGUCAUUUCUUCUACAGACUUUCGUUGUGGCAAGCAUUUCUGGUGAUGGUGUAGACUUUUGCAUGACGGAUAUGUUGUCCUCUAUACAGGAGAAAAAUGAUCAAUCUUACCCCUCCUUACUUAUCUUGUGCAUGCAAAUGUGAAAAGUGCAAGGCAAAACAUAAUGGAGUGAUUAAUAUUGUUAAUGCAUUAACUGCUGAUGUAAGGGAAUUGAUAUCUAACAGCAGUGUCAUUCGAUCAAAGAGGUUUUCAGUUUCAUUUACUCCAUUAGAGAUUAAGGCUAAGAGGAGAAAGAAAGCAAUUUCCAAGGCAUUAUCAAGUAUCCAAAAAAAGAAAAAUUUCGGAUCUGAAAAAGGUGAGAAGAUAAAAAUAGGAAGGAAUGGGAAGGAAAAACUGAAUGCUAGAUUUAGUUCAUCUUGUAUCGUUAUGUAGAGAUACUCCAUCUAAUUUUGAGUGUUUUUUCUUUUCAGGAUGGUGAGGAAGGAAGAAUCUCCCCAUCAUUAGCUAAUAUUGGAAACAAGACAUCUGAGUUAUUGAACCACCAGACUGCCCUGUGAAGUUUGAUAAUCCAUAAGAUGUCUUUGCUUAAGUCAAUCAACAGAUUAAACGAUCUCAAUCACUUGGUUUUUCUGUUGAUCAGUCUUCUCCCGUAGAAGACAAGAUAUCAACAAAACUGCUUGACACAGCGAAAGCUGAUAUCGAGAUAUCACUGAUUAUGUCUUCUCAAGACUUUCUUCUACCAGAAAACUAUUCUGCAUUAAGUGCUACACUAUCCAUAUAUACUGCAGCACCAGAUUUAUCAGCUGAGAGAGCGUUUGCCUUAGAAAAACUAAAAGAGAACCUUCCAUACUUCUCCUUGACCUUGCGUAGAGCUAAGAAGGACCAAGAGGAGUAUUAUAAAAAAGCUGCCAAGAAAGAAAGUGGUCCUCGUUGACAAACUCACAAACCAUCAAGAGCUCUAUACUGAGCUCAACGACCACAAUGACAAAAUGAAUUGGAAGUGGUGAUUUGACUUAGUCAAACAAAAAGCCACGACUGUUCAUAUCCCUUAAUUAAAUAAAACUGGUGACUUUUCAAAUAUGUAAAUUUAAAAAAUGGAUCUAAAUACAACAUUUUAUCUUUUUAUUGUAUUUUGAAAAGAGACAGAUUGGUAAUCUAUUGUAAAAUAUAUUCCACCUGUCAAAUAACUUACAACAUAUUGACAAUCUGUUGCAACAGAUGAAUAUAUCAAUUUGCUUUUCCAUCAGUUGUGGCGUCUGUUGCAAUUUGUUAGUCAUCUGUUUAUUCAAUUUCUCGAGAAUAAUUGAUUUUUCUAAACACUUCUUGGCCAAACUCAAUUUUUGCUCUUGGAUUGCUUCUCUUUUUUUCUUUGUAUCCUUCAAGCUGGCCUCCAAAUUCAAUUUUUGCCAUCAAUCCAAGAGCAAAAAUUGAAUUUGGAGGUCAGCUUGAAGAAUGCAAAGAAAAAAAGAGAAGCGAAGAAAUGUUUAGAAAAAUCUAUUACUCUCAAUGAAAUUGAAUAAACAGAUGACUAGCAAGUACAACAGAUGCCACAACUGAUGGAAAAGCAAACUGAUAUAUCCAUCUUUUGCAACAGAUUGUCAAUAUGUUGUAAGUUAUCUAAUAGGUGGAAUAUAUUUUGCAACAGAUUACCAAUCUGUCUCUUUCCGAAAUACAAAAUAAAAUAAAAUAUUGUAUUUAGAUCCAUUUUUUUCAAUUUACAUAUUCGAAAAGUCUCCAGUUUUAUUUAAUUAAGGGAUAUGAACAGUCGUGGCUUUUUAUUUGACUAAGUCAAGUCCCUUCCAAUUCAAUCAUUUUAUAAAUAGGUUCCUUCGAUCUCCUCUCACUCGUUCAUUUUAUUACACUUACAAUACUAAUAUGGCUUCUCCAGAUUCGUACAAGAAGAUUCAUAUCGAGUCCUUUCAAGAACUUCAAAGGCAGUUUGAUGAACUCCAGAGGGAUUUGGCCUACUUCGGAGCAAGACUGAGGAGGGCCCUGCUGCUGUCGGAUGAAAAUUGUCCGGUUGACAAAAAUAAUAGUAAUAAUAAUAAUAGUAGUAAUAAUAAUUAGGUUAUGUCUUUUUUUUCUUUUAGCGUAUGUAUUUUUCUUUUUUAUAUCCGAUCUACCUAUAAGGGAUUCAAAAAAAUCUAUGUAUAUGUUUGGUUUGGUUUGGUCGACUUUGAAUUUUUAAUUCUUAUUCAAUAUUUAGUUAUCAUUUUAUUUAUUCCCUAUUCUCAACAUGUCGAUGGUUGGAGGUAAUUGAAAACCAGUUGUAUUCGAUUUUUAAAUUGAGAAAAAGGAUAUUUAAAUUUAAUAAGCUGAAAAGUCAUGACUUAUCACAAUAAUAAAAAACUCACCAGCUUGAUUUAAUUAAGUCAUUUCUUUUCACAGAAAAAAAUAAGGAAAUAAAUGAUAAACACAAUUUAAACCGUAAAAAACUCACCAAAAAUAUUCUUGUUUUUAAAUCUGCUUUAUUAAUUUAUAUAAUUAAAAAAUCAGAAAAGUUGGAUGUCAUGAAGAAUUUUUUUUUUAAAUAUAUAUAUUAUAUGUUGUAACAGAUAUAUUAUCUGAUGCAACAGGUUAUCUAUUUGUUGCAAUAGAUGAUAUAUCUAUUGUAACAGAUGAGUUAUUUGAUGCAACAAAUAUAUAAUUUGUUGUCCAACUCAAUGUAAAAACGGUUCCUGGAAAGAACUAAUUAUUUUAAUAAUAAUAAAGCUGAAAGAUCAUGACUUAUCACAAUAUUGCUUAAUUUAAUUAAGUCAUAACUUUUUACAGUAAUCAAUUUGGAUGUCAUGAAGAUAAUUUUUUUAAAAAAAAGAUAUAUAGAUUAUAUCUGCCACAGAUAUAUUAUCUGAUGGAACCGAUUAUCCAUUUGUUGCAACGGAUGAUAUAUCUGUUAUCACAGAUGAGUUAUCUGAUGCAACAGAUAUAUAAUCUGUUGUCCAACUCAGUGUAAAAAAAUGAUUCUUGGAAAGAACUAAUUAUUUUAAUAAUAAUAAAGCUGAAAAAUCAUGACUUAUUGCAAUAUUGCUUAAUUUAAUUAAGUAAUAACUUUUUACAGUAAUCAAGAAUGUCAUUAAUAAAUUGAGGUGAACAAUUGUGCCUUUAAAUCUGUUUUAUUAAUUUAUAUAAUUAAAAAAUUAUGUCAUAAUUUAUCACACUAUUGCUUAAUUUAAUCAUAAUUUAUCACAAUAUUGCUUAAUUUAAUUAAGUCAUAACUUUUUACAGUAAUCAGGAGUGUCAUUAAUAAAUUAAGGUGAACAGUUGCGCCUUCAAAUAUGCUUUAUUAAUUUAUAUAAUUAAAAAGUCAGAAAAUUUGGAUGUUAUGAAAAUAACUUUUUUAAAAAAGAUAUAUAGAUUAUAUGUUGAAACAGAUAUAUUAUCUGAUGCAACAGGUUAUCUAUUUAUUGCAACGACUUAAUAUUUGUUGUCACAGAUGAGUUAUCUGAUGCAACAGAUAUAUAAUCUGUUGUCUAACUCAGUGUAAAAAAAAUGGUUCCCGAAAAGAACUAAUUAUUAAUAAUAAUAAAGCUGAAGAGUCAUGACUUAUCAUAAUAUUGCUUAAUUUAAUUAAGUCAUAACUUUUUACAGUAAUAAAAAAUGUGAUUAAUAAAUGGAGGUGUACAGUUGCGAUUUUUUUUAACUUAUUCAAGUUCAAUCCUCUAUAAAUAGGUCUCUCCUUAUUCAAUCGUCCGUUCUACUACACACUGUUUAUUCCUCGCUCUUUUCACACCUUCAACUACUUUCUCUUCAAGAACUUGAUAGCUUUUUCCUGUCUCUGGUAAGUUUUUUUCUUGAUUUUUUUUGUAAAUAUACGUUGUAUUACAUUACAUUCGAAUUUUUUCUUUUCUUUACUUUUGUUUUUACGUGUGUGUUUUGUUAACUUAUGCAUUUUCUAGAUAUGACUGAUCCUGUGUGAGAUGUCGCUAUUUUACGAGACGCCAUGCGGAAACGGCAGAAGGAGGUUCAUGACCUGCAUUGGGAGUUGACCGCCGUCAGAGUAAGGAUGCUGCGGGAGAUCCACAGGCUGAUGAAGGCGCUGCUGCUGCCGAUUGAAGAUUGGCCAGCAGGCCAUACAAAUAAUAAUAAUGAUAAUAAUUAUUAAUCUUUUUUUUCUUUUAUCUAUGUAUUUGUUUUUUGUUUGUUUUAUAAAAAAUUAUGUUUGAUGCAUUUGAUUUUUUAUUUCUUAUUUAAUUUUCAUGCUGUCUAUUUCUUUUUCUCAACGAAUGACAUGUCUACAAUUAAGGAAUAAUUCGAUUCCAGUAUCAAUAGCAAGAGAUCAACAUAUGAGUUGAGUUAUCUGUUAGGUUUUUGACAGAAACUGUAUUUGCUAUUCGAAAUAGAUUAGUAAUCUGGUGAAACAGAUUAUUUAUCUGUUGAAACAGAUUAGUAAUUUGGUGCAACAGAAUACCCAUCAAUUCGAUUCAUAUUACGGGCAUCUAGAACCAUAAACACGAAUCCAACAUAAGUCUACUGUUACAACAAAAUAUUUAUUUGGUACCGCAGAUAAUGAAUCUGUUUAAACAGAUUGCUCUUAUGUUGCAUUCAUGUUUGCGUGCUAGCUAUUGUUGAAAAAACAACACACUAGUAGUUACCCAGAUAACAAAUUCAACUAAAAAAUAUAAUUUGACUUACCAAAGUCUCCUCUCAAGUAAAUGCCGAAGUUGAAAGUGAUUUACGAAAUAAAAUUUGACAUAAGAAUUUGGACAAAGAGUAGCAGUUGGGGUAACAACAACAACAACAACAAUGAUCAACAAGAUGAAUAUGAAGAUGAUAAUGAAGUAUAAGAUGAUGAUAAUGGAUCAGAAGAUGAUGAAUAAAGCAACAACAACAAUGAACAACAAAUAUCGCGAAUAAAGAGAAAAUAACAAUGGAUGAGGAGAGAGAAAAAUGCGUCUUUUUCCCUUCGUUUCUCGUUAUAUUAACUAACAUUUGGAUCAAAGUAUAAAUUUAAAAACUUGUGGGUUAUUUUGAAAUUUUUUAAACUUUCUUAAUCCAUAAUUAAGUAAUUGUCACCUCUACUCAAUUAUUAAGACUUGUGUCACCCAUACCUCAUUUUAAAUCUCUUUUGUCACCUGUGGCCCAAAGCCCCUACUCUCCUUGUCCAAACUUUUGUGACAUUGAUAGUUAAUUAUAUUUUUUAAAUAGUUUAAGUUUUUAAUUAUUGUAAUUUAUAAUACAGUUUCUUCUAUUCUAAUUUAAGUGGCACUGAGAUAAUUUCGAAAAUCAAUCAUAUACCACGAUUUAAGUAGCGAAGCAGACAUGUAUUAAAUGAAUCAUAAUAACUAAUCAGAAAUGACAUAACAAAAUUGCUACAAAAAACAUCUAAGUGGGUCUCAUAUAAGAUGUCAAGUUAAUUUAAAACAACAAGAGUUAAUUUGUGUCUAUUUUUUCUUUUUUUUUAUUUAAUAUUAUUAAAUUUUUAAUACUUAGAUGAGUUAUAACAAUUAAUUAGGUGUGAUAUAAUAAAAUUACGAUUGAAGAAGCUGAAGCAACCAUGUUAUAAAUGUCUAAUUUACCUAUUCUAUUAAACAUGAUUAAUUUUAUAAUAUGUAAGAUCCAAUCAAAUAUCACGAUGUGGUGAAUCAGACAUGUAUUAAAUAACUCACAAUAACUAAUUAGAGAUAUAACAAAUUGCUACAAAAGAUAUUUGUAAAAACAAUUUAAGUGGGUCUCAUAUAAGAUGUCAAGUAAUUUAAAACAUCAAGAGUUAAUUUAUCAUUUUAUUUCUAUUUUAUUUUUUAUUAAAUAUUAAUUUUUUAAUACCUAGAUGACUUAUAAUAAUUAAUUAAGGAAUGAUAUAGUAAAAUUACGAUUGAAACAGCUGAAACAAAUAUGUCAUAAUUGUCUAUUUUACCUUUUUUAUUAAAUAUUAUUAAUUUUUAAAUACAUAAAUGACAUAUAAUAAUUAUUUAAGGGUAAUACAAUAAUAUCACGGAAGAAGCAGGCACGUCAACAAAGAGGUGUCUGCUUCUUCGCGUUUCUAAUUAGUAGUAAUUUUUUAUUAAAUAUUAUUUUUUAAUACCUAGAUGACUUAUAAUAAUAAUUAGGGAGUGAUAUAGUAAAAUUACGAUUGAAACAGCUGAAACAAAUAUGUCAUAAUUGUCUAUUUUACUUUUUUUAUUAAAUAUUAUUAAUUUUUAAAUACAUAAAUGACAUAUAAUAAUUAUUUAAGGGUAAUACAGUAAAAUCACGGAAGAAGCAGGCACGCCGACGAAGAAGUACCGGCUUCUUUGCGUUUCUAAAUAGUAGUAAUUAUUUUUUAUUAAAUAUUUUUUUUUUUUAAUACCUAGAUAACUUAUAAUAAUUAAUUAGAGAGUGAUAUGGUAAAAUUACGAUUGAAAAAAACUAAAACAGAUAUGUCAUAAUUGUUUAUUUUAUUUUUUAUUAAAUAUUAUUAAUUUUUAAAUACAUAACUGACUUAUAAUAAUUAUUUAAGAGUAAUAUAGUAAAAUCACGGAAGAAGCAGAUACGUUAACAAAGAGAAACUUCCAAGUUGCUGACUAUGAUCAUGUGCAAAUAGAAAAAAAAAAGGCAAUCUAGUGCACUAAAGUUCCCACUAUAUGCAGAAUUUAGGGAAGAGUCGAAUCAUAAAGAUUUAUUGCACGCAAUCUUACCUUGCAUUUCUGCGAGAGAUUGUUUCCACUUUUCAUGGCUUAAAACCGUGACCUGAAGAUCACAGAGAAACAACGUCCGACAAUUUGGAGCUUAAUUACAAAAAAUUUCAAUAUUUUGCAUAAUUAAUGAUAACUCGGAAUUUUGAAUUUAUCAAGAUAUAUAAUUAGCUCCGAUAGAUUCAACAAAGAUACAUUUUUUCCGUUGUAAAGAUACAUAAUAAACUUUCUAUAUAUUUUUUUGUUUUGAUUUUUGGUCUGUCGAGAUACAUAAUACAUUCAACGAAGAUACAUGUUUUCCUUGUAAAGAUAUAUAAUUAGCUCUUUGAUAUAUUCAACGAUGAUACAUAAUUAGUUGGAAUUUUGGUAAUUACUUUGUAAGGAUGGAAAAUUAUAUAAAUAUAGUAAGUUUAGGUGUGUAUAUAUAUACUAGAUACUUAGCCCGUGCCAGCACGGGCCCAAUAUAUAUUAUUUGUGUUAUCACAAUUUAUAUAGCACAAAUUAUAUUUGGAGAGUCAAUUAAAUUUUUAUUAAUAUAAUUUUUAAAUAAUUUAAGUUGCUAAUCAUUGUGUUUUAUAGUACCUUUUACGUAAUUAUCAAACAAUUUAUGUUACUCGCUUUAUCCCAAUUUUGAAAUUUAGAGAGUCAAUCAAAUUUUUACUAAUAUAAUUUUUAAAUAUUUUAAUUAUUAAUCGUUGUGAUUUAUAGUAUUUUUGUAUGUAAUCUCAAAUAAUUUAUGUUACUCGCUUUAUCACAAUUUAUGUGACAUUAUUACAAUUUAAGAGUCAAUCAUAUUUUUUACCGUAUUUUUUUUAUAAUAUUAUAAGAUGUUAAUAGUUAUGACUUAUAAUUUUUUUUCUGUAUAUUUUUUAAAUAUAUAAUAUUUUACCUAAAUAAAAUAAAUAAAUCAAAAUAACAAAGUACCAAAUUUUCAAAAUAUUGUUGUGUAGUGUGUGUUUCACACGUGUCUUUUACCUAUCUUUUUUAAAGAAGGCCGUUUGGAUAGAGUUUCAUUUUUCCCCUUUCUAUUAGUUUCAAUUUUUAUGGUAUUACUGCAAUUUUAAAGUUCUCUUCAUGUUUCACUUUUUCUACAAAUGUUGUUUUUCAGCAAAGGGGAAAACUAAAAUGAGAUUUUUAAUCUUCAAUUUUCCGUUUUCUUCUUUAGAUCUUCGACAUGCAAUACGUAGAACUAUUGAUUUCUCUUAAAAACCCAUUUUUUUUUUUCUCCAUUUUGGAAUAAGCAGCAAACAUGGCUUCUCCUUCAAAUUUUUGUAUGGUUAUGAUUUUCUUCUUUUACUUUUGAUACAAAAAAUCCUCGAUUAACUUUUUCUGGAUUUUGCUGAAUUUAGGAGGUGAAUCGGUAUCAAGUAUUCCGUUAAUGAUUCAAGAGCUUCUUAUGAACUUCGACAACUAAAUCCUUUGGUUUGAUACCUUCGUAUCCGAGAGUCAACAUCUCUUCACUCCGGGUGUGUUUGGUAUGAUGAAAAAUAUUUUUGAUGGAAAGUGUUUUCUUUUGAAAAAUAAGUUGGUUUUCUACUUAUUUUCUCAUGUUUGAUUGGUGAAUGAAAAAUAUUUUUGAAAAGAUAUUUUAUGGUGUUUAGUUGGUGAGCAGAAAAUAUUUUUUAGAAAAAUAUUUUCUUGACGAUUGAAAAAUAUUUUUUUAGAAAAUACUACUAUUUGUUAAUUAAUAUAUCAGUACCUCUAACAACUUAACAAUUUGGAAGAACUAAUUUAAGCAUAACAAAUAAUAUCGAUAUCAAAUACUAAAAUAUUACAAUCAUUAAAUUUAAGCAACUAUUAAUUAACAAAUAUAAGAGAUACUUUUUAAUAUUUUGUUAGGACAAUCUCAAGAUACUAUAAUUAAUAGAAAUAUAACAGAAUGACAAACUAAUUCAAUAUCAAUAUAACAGAAUGACAAACUAAUUCAAUAUCGUAACAAGUUAUAUUGAUAACAAAAUGAAAUAUGUAAUUAACAAAAGUAAUAUAAUUUAAUAUCGUAACAAGUUACAUUGAUAAUAAAAUGAAAUAUGCGAGUAAUAUAAUUUAAUAUCAUAACAAGUUACAUUGAUAACAAAAUGAAAUAUGCAAUUAACAAAAGUAAUAUAUUUAAGUUUUUCUCUGUGCAUAUAAAAAUAAUAAUAUAUUCAACGAAUUAAAAAUGGAAAAAAUUUGAACUUAAUUAUUUUUUAUUUUAAACAAACAUUUUCGAGUAAUGUAAAUUUUUAAAAAAUAUAAAUUUUUUAAGUCAUGUGAAUAUAAAUGUUGUUGUGGUGGGAAGAAGGGUGAGAGUUAGGUUAUAAGUCACAUUUAUCAUUUUCUGGAAAAUGACUUUCCUUGGCCCAUAAGGGAACUCAUUUUCCAUCAAAUGAUGGAAAAUAAAUUAUCUUGAAAAAUAUUUUUCUAAACUUUUGUUGCAACUAAACAAGGAAAAAUCGGAAAACAUUUUCUGAAAAAUAUUUUCCUUCAUACCAAACACACCCUCCAUCUUUAUGGUCGGCGCUGAAUCUCAAAAUGGAGAUUUUUUGUGGUUGGCGCAGAUAGGUCCAUUAAAAAAGGUUUGGGUCAGUCAACUAGUGUCAAAAGCCCAACCCAACAUCCUCCAAUAAUAAAUCCCAACCCAACAACCCCAUUACAAAAAAGCCCAACCCAACACCCCCAACACAAAAAGCCCAACCCGACAAUCCCCAACACAAAAAGCCCAUAAAUUUUAUCCAUAUUUCUUCUUUCUUCUCCAUUACAAUUCUGCAAAACCCUCGUAGUACUCCCUCAGAGGUUUUAGUAGCAGACGAACAAUGGCGAAAACGAGCAAAACCGAAAGUUCAUCAAAGAAGAAGAAGAUGAAGAAGAGCAGCAAAACAGGUCCAAAAUCCAAAGACAUGAAGCUCAAACCACCAAAGGAAAAUCCAUUCGAAGCUAUUUGGUCACGCCGUAAAUUCGAUAUACUUGGCAAAAAACGUAAAGGUGAACAACGAAGAAUUGGUGAAGCUCGUUCUUCUGCCAUCGAAAAGGUACACUUACUUUUCUUAUUUAGUCUGUUUCAAAGUCUGACAGUAUUUAAAAGUCUUUUAUUACUUUCUUAAAUUUCGUGCCAAAGUGAAAACGAGACAAUUAACUCGAGACAGACGGAGUAUUUAGCAUAAAAAAAAAGUUGCAUAUUUUUGAUUGAUUUUUCAUUAAUUUUAGGUAGUUUGGUAAACUACUUAGUCAUAAGAACUAUCUAUUUUGACUCGACACGAAAUUUAAAAAAAUGAAAUUUUUUUGAAUUUUGUGAUCUUAAAUUAAAGUUGUGUCAAAUGUACAAAAAGCCUUUUAAUCUUGUAGUUUCAAACAUGCCAUUUGGAAAGUUGGAAUUGAAGUGUUGCCAAAAAGGAAAAAGGGUCAUUCUUGUUGAAACAGACUAAAAAGAAAGUACUUUAAUUUUUUUGGAAUGGAGGGAGUACAACAUUCGAGAGCUAGUGAGAAAAUAAAAGUUAUUCAUAUAAAAGAUUAAUAUGAAAUUUGGUUUGCAAUUUAGAAACCUAGAUAACUAAUACUUGCAUAGUUAGUAGCAUUACUAAUACAACAACAACAAACCCAGUAUAUUCCCACAUAGUGGGGUCUGGGGAGGGUAGAAUGUACGCAGUCCAUACCACUACCUCUAGGGAGGUAGAGAGGCUAAUUCCAAUAGACCCCCGGCUCAAGACAAAAGACAUUAAACAGAAACAUCAAAAUCGUAGAACAUGAUACAAAUAAAAUAGGUAUGACACUCGCAAUUAGAGAAAAGAAAGAAAGAAAUACAUACGUAAAUCAAUAACUAAAGCCAUAAAUAAAUAGAUAAAUACAUAAAUUUGCCAACAAACGACAGCAAGUCCUCCUUCUUACUGACUACUACUCCUCCACACCCUUAGCCCUUUACUCUAAUACUUUUCCUCCAUAACUUUCUAUCCAGGGUCAUGUCCUCAGUCAGCUGUAACUGCUCUAUGUCACGUUUAAUCACUUCUCUCCAGUGUUUUUCGGUCUACCCCUACCCCACUUGAAACCUUCCAAGGCCAACCUCUCACACCUACAAACUGGGGCAUCCGUGCCCUUCCUCAUCACAUGACCAAACCAUCUCAACCUCACUUCCCGAAUUUUAUCCUCCACCGNNNNNNNNNNNNNNNNNNNNNNNNNNNNNNNNNNNNNNNNNNNNNNNNNNNNNNNNNNNNNNNNNNNNNNNNNNCCAGCGUAACAUUCUCAUUUCCGCCACCUUCAACUUUUGGAUAUGAGAACUCUUAACCGGCCAACACUUUGCUCCAUACAACAUAGCAGGCCGGACUGCAACUCUAUAGAAUUUGCCUUUCAGUUUGAGGGGCACCUUGUGUCGCAUAAAAUUCCCAAAGCGAGCCUCCAUUUCAUCCAACCUGCCCCCAUGCGGUGAGAUACAUCCUCAUCUAUCUCUUCAUUCCCCUGAAUCGUAGAACCAAGAUACUUAAAACUAUCCCUCUUGCAAACCACCUGAGAAUCCAACUUUACUACCAGCUCCUCCUCUUGCCUCGAGUCACUGAACUUGCACUCCAAGUACUCCGUCUUGGUCCUACUCAACCGAAAACCUUUAGACUCCAGGGUCUCUCUCCAAAUCUCCAGCUUAUCAUUAACCCCUUGUCGCGAUUCAUCAAUCAGAACUAUAUCAUUCGCGAAAAGCAUACACUAAGGCACCUCACCUUGUAUAUUCCGCGUCAGCACAUCCAUCACCAAAGCGAAUAAAAACGGACUAAGAGUUGAUCCCUGGUGCAACCCUGUCAAGACUGGAAAAUGCUCAGAAUCUCCUCCCACUGUCCUUACCCGAGUCUUCGAUCCCUCAUACAUGUCCUUAAUCGCUCUGAUAUACGCCACGGGAACCCCCUCGCCUCCAAGCAACUCCAAAGAACCUCCUUAGGGACCUUGUCAUUCGCCUUUUCCAGGUCUAUAAACACCAUGUGAAGAUCCCUCUUCCUCUCUCUAUGCUGCUCCACCAGUCUCCGCACAAGGUGAAUUGCCUCAGUCGUGGAGCGACCAGGCAUAAAACCAAAUUGGUUCUCCGAAAUAGACACAAUCUUCCUCAACCUCCGCUCCACCACCCUCUCCCAAAUCUUCAUCGUGUGACUCAACAACUUAAUACCCCGGUAGUUGUUGCAACUCUGAAUGUCACCCUUGUUCUUAUAUAGAGGAAUCAUCGUGCUCCAUCUCCACGCCUCGGGCAUCUUUGCUGACUUGAAAAUAUUAUUAAACAAGUUGGUCAGCUACCGCAACCCUGACCCGCCAUAGAACUUCCAAAAAUCCACCGGAAUCUUGUCGGGCCCCGUCGCCCUACCCCUUCUCAUCUUGCGAAUAGCCUCACUGACCUCCUCUACCCUAAAACGCCGACAGUUAGUAGCAUUACUAAUACCUGCAUAAUUCUAACCAGCUACCAAACGACCUUAAUAAUAUCUAUAAAAGAUGUUGUUUGCUUUCUUAAUUCUGGGAGAAGCCAAAACCGUAUAAUCAAAUUGAAAGAGUGAGUAUUUAAAAAAAAAAGUUGCAGUAUUUUGACUGAUUUUCCAUUAAUUUAAGGCUUUUGGGAUUUUGAUUAUGAUUGUUUUGUUGUGAUUAUAGAGGAAGAAGACACUAUUGAAGGAGUAUGAGCAAAGUGGGAAAUCAUCAAUGUUUGUUGAUAAGCGUAUUGGAGAAAAUGAUGAAGGGCUUGGUGAAUUUGAUAAAGCUAUUAUGAGGUCUCAGCGUGAGAGGCAGGUUUGUUUCGAAAGUUUUCUUCACUGCCAAUCGUUUAAUUUUGUUCAUAUUUUGUUGUAAGAAGUAAAAGUUGAUGAUGCUUCAUAACUCACAAUCAAUGUUAGCAUAAAGUAGUGAUUUUUAUCAUGUUAGCGUGAAGUAGUGAUUUUUAGAUGAUAAUGUCUUCUCUAAAAGUUCUGUUCACGACCAAUGCUUGAAUAUUAUAUUCAGAUUCUACUUUUUUUUUUGAGUAAGCAUGAGCACCUCGACUAAUUCAAUGAGAAAGCUCAACUAGUUCCAUUAUAGGGGUACUUGCUAAAUCUCUCACCAUACCAUUACAUGUAUCGGUGUACUCUGUCUAUCAAGAUUUGGAUGGAUGAGAAGGAUUCACCUAGUUUUUUGCCUCUCUGCUGGAAUUUGAACAUGAAACUAAUGGUUCUAAAUCCACUUCGUUUAUGAGUAGGUCUCACCUUGGGUGUCAAAUUCUAUAGUUAGAAGUAACAUUUGAUGUCCAAAGUUGUAACCUAAUGGUUGAUGUAAUGACCCUUUCGGUCAUUUUUCAUAUUUCCGCUUAUUUUCACCGUUAGGGCCUUUCCAUAGCUGCCACAAGUCAAAUGACUUGUGGGAUGACUUGCCUUUCCAUAAAAAUGACUUGUGACAGCUAUGGAGAAGCCCUAACGGCGAAGAUAAGCGGAAAUAUGAAAAAUGACCGGAAGAGUCAUUACAGUUGAUGAAGUGGGAGGAGAACUAUGUGGCUUCAAGUUUAAAUCCCACACUAUUUUUUUUUUAAGGUGUUCUUUUCCAUCCACCUUAGUUUAGGUGGCCAGUUACUCGGUACGUGGGAGGUACAGCCUGGUGGAACAGUUGAGAGGUCUGUACACCAUUGUCAAUAAAAAAAGAGUUAAAACUGAUGCUUCAGAAGUUCAACGUCCUCUUUUUGUAUUGCCCCCACGUGUUUGAUGGGGAAAAACUUGUUCUCUGUUCGUUAUGUUAGCAUAAAGUAGUAUUUUUUAUGGUGGAAAAUAUACACACUCAUUGUAAAUAAAAAAGAAUCAUAAGUAGAUGUUGAAGAAGUGGUCUUUCAAUGGCAAUCAUGGAGAUUUAGUUAGCUAUGCUUUUUUAGUUUGGCCAUCUAAAUAAUGAAGAGUCAGUUAGAGAAGAUUAGAGCAUUGGCGUGAGAGUGAAUUUUCGGUCAAAAUAAACAAGCUUGUUAAAUGCCAAAAUUGAAAAUUGCACGUCUGGAUAUUUGAAUACGCCAACUUACAUAAUGGAACGGAGAAGGCUCAACCCUCCAUAGUGAACCCAACUUUGGAAAUGGGAUCUGAAACAAAUCAAUGAACUCAUUUUCAAACAAAGAAGAUAAAAAAGAAAAGCGUGGAGCCUAGGAAUAGGAAAUGAAUGGAUCAUUGCGUGUUCAUUUCGUCAGGAACGCCAGAUUAAUCAUCAUUAGAAAAAAAAUGCGCAUUGAGUGAGUAGUUAGUUGAAGGCGAGCCUUGACUGGUAAAUUUACUGCCAUGUGACCAGGAGGUCAUGUGUUCAAGCCUUGGAAACAGCCUCCGCAGAAAUGCAAGGUAAGGCUGCGUACAAUAUACCCUUGUGGUGAGGCCCUUCCUUGGACUCCGUGCAUAGCGGGAGCUUUAGUGCACCGGACUGCCUUUUUUUAUUGUGCGAGUAGUUAGUUCAGGCCUUUUUGCAUGAGAAAAAUGGUUGCAUGAUUUUACCAGUGUGCCUUUCACUUUUAUUAAAUUAUGUUCAUUUCGUCAGGAACGCCAGAUUAAUCAUCAUUAGAAAAAAAAUGCGCAUUGAGUGAGUAGUUAGUUGAAGGCGAGCCUUGACUGGUAAAUUUACUGCCAUGUGACCAGGAGGUCAUGUGUUCAAGCCUUGGAAACAACCUCCGCAGAAAUGCAAGGUAAGGCUGCGUACAAUAUACCCUUGUGGUGAGGCCCUUCCUUGGACUCCGUGCAUAGCGGGAGCUUUAGUGCACCGGACUGCCCUUUUUUAUUGUGCGAGUAGUUAGUUCAUUUGCAUGAGAAAAAUGGUUGCAUGAUUUUACCAGUGUGCCUUUCACUUUUAUUAAAUUAUCUGAUACUGCUCUAUUGUUGUUGACAAAUAUCUACUUUUUGUUUUCCUUAAUAUCUAGAUGAAAUUGAAGAAAAACAAGUAUAAUCUGUCAGAUGAGGAUGAAGAGGACUUUGACUUUGGUGUCUCAUUGGGAAGGGAUGAUUUUGAUGAGGAAGUUCCAUUUGAUGAGGAUGAGGAGGAUUAUGCAAGAGACGGUGAGAAUAACCCUUCGCGUGUUUAAAAUGAUACUAGUUUUUAUAUGGCAAAAAAAGGAGUAAUUUGUUGCCAAAAUGUCAUGUUGAAUUCAAAUCAUACUAAUUAGGAUUCUUUGAAAUUAUAGAGGGAGAAAAUCUUUUUGUUCGAGAAUGUGUGCGUAGCUUAUUGGGGUAGACCAAGAAAGUUGGUCAAUGUCAUUGUUUCAAUGGAGUACUUUUUCACUUCUUGAAUCAGGGUAGGAGAGACGUAUGGUAUUAUUUUUAGUUUGGUUCCGUAUCCUUUAUGGUAAGGACUAAGGACACCUAUUUUAUUUUAUUGUUAGAUGCCCCACCUUUUUUGGUAGUUACGCAUUAACAUUCUUAAGUCAAUGUACAUUUAAAAGAAACCACAGAGCUUUUGAUGGGGUGGAGAACUACUAUGUACAUUUGAAGAAUAGUCUCUCAUUCCCCGUUUCUUUUGCUGCAUCAGUGAAGUUCCAGUUUGUAUAUAGGAGCUGGUAUGUUCAGAUUUUGUAGAUUCUCUAAUUUUCUGUAUACUGUUUGUUUGCUGGAGAUUUUCGUAUGAUAGUAAAUUAUUUACCUUAUUAAAAAAAAACCUCAAAGUCCCUUGUAUAGUUACAAAAGUUAAGGAGAAUGCUUCUGAUGGUCCUGACACUCUUGGAGGCUUGUACUAUCUUUUUGCUGUAUUUUGUCGUACAAGUUACUCCCUAUUCAAAAAAUAAAUAAUAGGAGAAAAAUUUAUGAAGAAAAACCAUCAUCAUAAACCUAAUCUAGCUACCAGCUAGAGUAUUACCACCAUUAUUGGUUCAUACAUUAUCAUAUCUUUUUUUCAGGGAAGUUGGUAAUGUUUCAAAGCUUGUAUUUUCUGUUGUUUAGCAUCUUAAAUUGUUUCUUGUAUGGUUUUCCUCAUAUGUCUAUUUUGGUGCAGAUAAGUCAGCUAUCUUGGGACAACUUAACUCUCAUGGAUCUCAGAAUGCCCAACCAGGUCCAGUGGAAGCAGAGGAAAAUGUUAGAAUCUCCCCCUCCCCCUUUUCUUCAUGCAUAUUACAUGCUCUAUUUUGGAGUUUAUGGUGACUAGCUAUUAACAGAGGAAAUAGUUGUUAUCUUUCUUGCCCCUCCCAUGAUUAAGAGCUCACUUAAUUGUUAUUCUGAAUAGUUUGGCACUUAGAUAUAAAUGUUUGUAACCUUGUAACUUAAAUUGCUACUCCAUGCAUCUUUUGAGUCAUAUGAAAAGAAAGAAAUUGAACAUGUCUUGAAGGAAGCACUGAAUCUACACACACGAUGAAAUAUAGUGUCUCUAUCUUUUCGCUUUUUGAUGUUACCUUAUAAAAAAAAAACCUUUUUGCUUUUUGGUGUAAGUUGAUGCAUUACUAGAUGUACACAUUAUUGAUGCAUUACUAGAUCAUUGCAGUACCCUACAAUUGUAAAAGGUAUAUAGGGACUGAGAUAUUCUUUUUGGCUGUACAGAGAAGCACCAACUUGGUGCAAUUUCAUCAAUAAAAUUAUUUACUUGUGAAAAAAAAUUGUUUUGCUCAAGCAAAGCUGUUAGGUGGCCGUGUUAAUUUUUGACUGAUGAUACUAAACUAGCUUAUGCCUCUGAUAAAAUGUCAUUUAAACAUUGUUAACAAGAUAAUUACAUAUGGGACCACUGAUUUUACAGGCUGCCAUUUAAAACAACAACAAUAACAACAACAAACCCAGUGUAUUCCCACAUAGUGAGGUCUGGGGAGGGUAAGAUGUACGCAGUCCAUACCUCUACCUCUAAAGAAGUAGAAAGGCUGUUUCCGAUAGACCCCCGGCUCAAGACACGGAAUACUACACAAAUACAUAGUAAAGCAUGGAACAGGCUGCCAUUUAAAACCUGAGUAAUUUAUGAAAGAGAGAAAUAAGAAUAAAGAUUUAACAGAAGAAAACAGGUUCUUACUUUGUUACCGGGAGCAUGCAUCAUCUUGCGUGGGAUAAUAGUCCAUUGUUCACAAACAUGUCUCGAAAGAUUCCUUUUUUUUUAUUUACAACACAGCUGUUGUUCCACUCCUGAUUUAGUGUACCAUCUUAUUGCAGUGGAAGAAAAGCAAGAAAGAAGUGAUGGAGGAAAUCAUUCAAAAGAGUAAAUUCUUUAAGGUUUGUUGUUGUUUAAUGUCUUAUGGUGCAAUCUGGUAAGCGAAUGUCUCUUUACUUGCCAUAUGUUUGACAAUUCUUUCGUUUUCCCUGCAUUGUUAGGCCCAAAAAGCGAAGGACAGAGAAGAAAAUGAUGAAUUAACUGAACAAUUGGACAAAGACUUCACAUCACUGGUGAAUUCAAAAGCCUUAUUGUCACUGACCCAACCAGACAAGAUAAAUGCUCUGAAGGCUCUUGUGAACAAGAACAUUUCAGUUGAUAAUGUCAAGAAAGAUGAGGUAGCUGAUGCUCCCAGAAAAGGAUCUAUUGGAAAGGUAUAAUUGGGUUUAAUUUUUGAUUGCCAGAAACAUUCCAGAUGGAUAUGCAGAAUCCUAGUCUUCCCUCUUUUCGUGUGCCUCAAUGUAUCUUCUUCUCCAUCUCUUUUAGGUUUCUAGUGCAUUGUCCAUGAACAAUUACCAAUAAAUUUUCUUUUGAUUAUAUUAAAUUUAUCUAUGUUGACCACUUUUAUCUUCGUAUUGCUUUCAGGAAAAGCCCGACACUUAUGAGAUGCUUGUUAGUGAGAUGGCAAUGGAUAUCCGUGCUCGCCCAUCAAACCGGACAAAGACUCCUGAAGAAAUUGUGCAGGAGGAGAAAGAACGGCUGGAAUUAUUGGAGGUACAGAUGCAUUAUGGCAGAAACAAGAGCUCUUGUGUCUCUUUUUAGCAAUCAUGCAUUACAAUGAGAAUCUUUGGUACCAAGAUGGAGAAAAUGGUUAUAUUUCUAUUAGUAAAUUGCACUAUCAAAUUCUAAACUAAAGUCCUUUAAAAAAAUGUUUUCUUUUUGACGAUAGAGGAUCCUGGUUCUAUUUGACUAUUUAUAACAUUCCUUCUGUGAUGGUAUCCUUAUGUUCUUUCAAGUUGUUGUAAUGUAUGACUUUGUUAUCAGCUAGGUAAUUGGCGUUCUUGCAUCAUCAUUACUGUUCUUUCAUGCCUUCAUUAUGAAGCUGCCUACUGUGUAGUAGUAGCGAUUGCUUGCUUUGUGCAUUUUCACAUUGUAGUCUUCUAAAACAGAAUACAUUUAGCUGAACUAUUGGUUCAAAGAUUUAAUGGUUUGGAAGGAUAAAGAACAUUUAUCUUUUGGCUAUAGUAGAUAUUUGCUAAUCAAAGUUUUAUUCAUUUUGCAGAAAGAACGUCAGAAGAGAAUGGCUGCAGUUGAUGAUGAGAGUGAUGAAGAUGGAAAUGCAUCUGAUGAUGACAGUAAAUUGGUCAGAGACCCAAGGACUAUAUCUGGCGAUGAUCUUGGGGAUGAUCUUGAGGAGGCGCCUAGAAAUAAGUUAGGUUGGAUUGGUGAAAUCUUGAGAAGGAAAGAAAGUGAACUUGAGAGUGAAGAUGCUGCUUCUACGGGGGAUUCAGAUAGUGAGGAGGACGAUGGUGAGGAUGAAGGAAGUGACGAUGGGGAAGAAGAAGGAAGUGGCAAUGGGGAUGAUGAAGGAAGUGAUGAGUAUGAAGAAGGAAAGACACAGACUAUUAAGGACUGGGAGCAAAGUGACGAUGAUAUUAUUGAUGAUGCGAAGAAGGUGAUGAAAAUAAAGGACCUUAAGGGGGUUGACGUCAAGGGAAAAGAAGUUGGCACUGUACAAACCAAAAAAGAAAAAACGACUUUGAAGCAUCCACAAAGCGAACUUCCCUAUACAAUUGAAGCCCCCAAAACCCUAGAGGAGUUCACUUCAUUGAUAGACAAUUGUUCUGAUGAUCAAGUAAUUGAAGCAAUCAGGAGAAUUCGUACAUUCAAUGCAAUAACUGUUGCAGCAGAGAAUAAAAAGAAAAUGCAAGUAUGAUACUCUGUUUUCACUGCAAUUUCUUUAUGAUUGAUGUUUUAACCUUUGAGACUUUCUCCGUUCUUGUUGUUAACACAUGGUGUGAAGGUUUGCCUUGAAAUUUUAAGAGUAUUUCACCAUUUAACUGUAUUUGCUCAUGUAAAUAUCUCUGUGCAUUGAUAAAAAAUGUUUACCGCAAUUUCUUUAUAAGUAGCUUGUUUCUUUCAUCAGGUCUUUUACGGCGUGUUGCUGCAAUAUUUCGCUGUGUUGGCAAAUAAGAAGCCAUUGAAUUUCAAGCUUUUGAAUUUGCUUGUAAAGCCACUGAUGGAGAUGAGUGCAGCAACCCCAUACUUUGCAGCUAUAUGUGCUCGCCAAAGGCUGCAAAGAAUAAGGACACAGUUUUGUGAAGAUCUUAAGCAUACAGGUUUGUUUUCAUAUCCCAUUUGUUUUCUUUAGUCAAUCAUUCUAUCUCAACUUAUGUUUCUUGACUUCACCUAUUGUGUUUAAUUCAUUUGGUCCAUCCGCAUAGGAAAAAGCAGUUGGCCAUCUUUGAAGACUGUCUUUUUGUUGAGGCUUUGGUCCAUGAUAUUUCCAUGCUCUGAUUUUCGCCAUUGUGUCAUGACUCCUGCUAUACUGCUUAUGUGUGAAUACCUAAUGCGCUGUCCCAUCAUUUGCGGAAGAGAUAUUGCAAUUGCUUCCUUCUUGUGCUCUUUGCUGCUCAGUGUAAGUCGAUACCAUGUUUCAUUUGUCUUUCAUGCACUGAAAUUGAUCGUUUGCUUAAGUUGAGGGUUCUACGAUUUUGUUUAGUAGUGUCUUAUAUAUCAUCGGAACACGUAUGGUUUCCACCUGUAUUAUAAUCUUCAACUAAAUCAAAGCAGCAUCUGGACUUCUGGAUGUAUAGUGAUUGUCUCCGCCUAGUAUAUAUCGUGUACCUUACUAAUAGUAUGUGCUUCAUAGUGAAUAUCUGCAUAUUACCCUCCUUGUUCUAAUUCGUCAAGUCAUUUGUCUUUGAAACCAUUUAUAGAUAUCUCCAUUGUUUCUCCUUCUUCCUUCCUUGUUUUAUACUUAAAUACAGCGUGUUAGUCCAGCGUUAUACAGGAUUUCUUAGAGAGCUAAUUGCUUUUAAAUCAUGACUUUGAUUGCAAAUAUUUUCAAUAUCUUGUGCAUAUUUGCUUAUAUACCUCUUAUUAGUUUUCAUUUGUGAUAUUUGGAAGUAUGAAUUCUUGUGUGGUGUGUUCUGUCCUCAUACUCUCGAGGCAUGAGUUCAUAGCUUUGCUUGUUUUAGGUAUACAAAGCUUCAGAAACUUUGUUAAUUUUCUAAGAUUCCAUCUGUCUCUACUUAUUUAUUACUCUUUUGUCUGUUCCGGAUUGCACCUUUUUAUUUUUCAAUAGCAUAUAGUUAAGUUUACAUUCUCAUCUUGUCAUUUGACAAGGUUUUGUUGCAGUCUCCACUGGAAAUGAAAAUAAAUAAUUUAACUUGGUACUGAAGUAAAUUUUUAUAUUUUAUUCCUAUUAAAUUAUUUAAAUUGGAAUAGAGGGAGUUUCUUUACUAAAGUCACUCAAAAUCAAGGUGCAGGUAGUUCUUAGGACUUCUUUAGGUUAAAUGGACCUAGAUUAUUUGCAAUAGUCGACUUGUCAUCCCCUUUUAUACCUAUGAGCUAAGUUGCUCGGACUCUCCAAAAAUGUUGCUGAACCCUGUCGGAUCCUUCAAAAAUACACUAUUUUGGGAGGAUCUGCACGCACUCAUUGACAUUUUUGAAGAGUCCGAGCAACAUAGCCUAUGAGUGACCAUACUCAAGUUGGUUCCGGUAGCUAUGUGUUAUUUAGUGUCAACUUCUGGUCAAACAACACGUUUUAUUAAAGACCGGUUGACAAGGUAAUCCCUUUUGAGAUUUAACUUUUGGCUUUUAGUUCUUUUAUUCUCAAAAAGCAUUCUUCCUGGUUGAUGGUGUUUGCAAUUACAGAAUGACCAUUUGGACGUAUUUCUCCAAGCUUAAACGUCUUGCGCUGCAGGUAACUAAACAAUCUCAAAAGUUUUGUCCUGAGGCUAUAGUAUUUCUUCAAACUUUGCUGAUGGCAGCUCUAGACAGGGAACAGCGAUUUGAAAAUUUACAGGUUUGGCUUUACUUCAGUGUUUGAGCCGAGGGUCUAUUGGAAACAGCCUCUCUACCUCUAUAUUCGGGCUGCUUCCUUCCACUUGUAAAUUGAAAGUCAUAUUCUCGUGCUGCAGUUGAAUAACCUUAUGGAGAUCAAAGAACUUGGGCCUUUGCUUUGUAUACGCAGUAGCAAUGCGGAGAUGGGUUCUUUAGAUUUUCUUGAGCUAAUGGACUUACCAGAGGACUCUCAGUAUUUCGACUCUGAUAAUUACAGGUCAGUUGGCAUUCUGGUGACAUAGGCAAAUCUAUUUGAGGAAUCUCAAAGUUCGUUAAAUUUUUGAAUAUGGCUCUAUGAGAUACAGUUGAGACAAAUUACAUGAUGCGAUUAAAUGUUUUCUCGUGCAGGGCUAGCAUCCUCGUAACAGUUCUGGAAACCCUGCAAGGAUUUGUCAAUGUAUAUAAGGACCUUAUUUCUUUUCCUGAGAUUUUCAUGCCAAUUUCAAAAUUAUUAUGCAAAUUGUCCGGAGAAAAUCAUAUUCCAGGUGCAUUAAGGGAGAAAAUCGAGGAUGUAUCCCAAUUAAUUGACACAAAGGCUCAGGAACAUCACAUGUUGCGUCAACCUUUGAAAAUGCGUAAGAAAAAACCUGUGCCCAUCAGGAUGCUUAAUCCGAAAUUCGAGGAGAAGUAAGAGAUAAUCUUCUUAUUGCCUUAUCUUUAAUCAAAAGAAUCAUAUUGCUCGUUUCUGUCGAGCUUUACUCAUCUAGUGAUCAUAUACCUCUGCAGCUAUGUCAAGGGUAGAGAUUAUGAUCCAGAUCGUGAGCGUGCUGAAAAGAAAAAGUUGAAGAAACGUAUAAAAGAGGAAGCUAAAGGUGCUGCACGAGAACUGCGUAAGGACAAAGAUUUCUUGGCCAAGGCGAAGGAAAGGGAAAAGGCCCUACUGGCCGAAGAGAAGGCUGAGAAAUAUGGGAAAGCUCUUGCUUUUCUUCAAGAACAGGAGCAUGCAUUUAAAUCAGGGCAAUUGGGAAAGGGCCGGAAGAGAAGAAGAUGAAAUUAGCUUUUGGUUGUUACUUGAAAAUUUUAUCUCAAAAGCUUCUCGUCUUUUGGUAAGGUUUGUUAUUUAUUUUGCAUUGACAGUGAAUGUAUAAGUACUCUAUCUACUAUACUACAAAUAGAUGUCGUCACUUCACUGUCAACAUCCAAUAGAUAUCCCUACUUGUUGAUACUCCGUCUAGUAUACUACAUAUUAGUUCAAUAGGUCAUCACUCCCUCUCUUGCUUGGCAUGGUCUCAACAUAUUAGUGUGUUCUUUAUUUAAUAUUGGAGGUAAAUUGUUAUAUAAAUACUAAUGAACACACCAUAAUGCUACAUAGCAGUAUUAAAACUGUUAUUGAUACAAAAUAUUGGAACUCUUCUUUAUUGUUCCUAGGAAUUGAAGUUGCUGAAUGCUGGAAAGUACCAGAGGAUUGAACGAGCAAUCGCAUUGUUUCGGUGAUGGUUACAACACGCCCAUCCAUCUUUGCCGUUCCAACUGUGCCACCGUGUUUCGUUGAAUUUUGUCUCAUGUCUUCUUGCAGAAGAUCAGUUUUGUCCAACACAAUCUGCAUAUUUAAUGUCUUGAGUUGUAAAAAAGGAAUAACUAUGUUCCUCGAACCUAAUGUGCAUGGUUGCUUGUUUUUUUGUUGUAUUUGUCAUUUUACAUUUAACUGAAGAGAGUUAAAUUCAUUAUAGUGUUAAAAGUCAUCUAUGUUGUAGUUUGGUUGUACCCUACGAUUGGAUGCUGAGAAGACAAUAGUUUACAUCCCAAAGGAGUUAUAAUUUUCUUUUCAAACCUGUUUUGGAAUGCUUACUUGUUUUUACAGACGCUCGGCUCGAGAAAAAGCAAAGCAAAGUAGUCUAAAGAAAGAAUUGACGAAAGUGAAAAUGUCAGUAAAUAUUUUAUAAAGCAAUUUGAAGAAAAGGAACAGUACCCAGAUCUUACUUUUGUGGAUUUAAUUGGGAUUGCUGUUAUUGAAGAAAAGAAACAAUAACUAGUACAAAAUAAAGCGAUGACAACAACAUAUAUAUAUAUCGUAGUGUAUUUCUAUAAAGUGGGUGGGUUUAAGAAGAUAAAGCGUAUGCAGUUCAUACCACUGUGAAAAGUAAUAAGGUCCACUGUGAAAAGUAAUAAGGUGGUCCUCCUUUUUUUGGAAAGUUCGCAUUUGCUACCACCAAUCAACCAGCCCUAGCAAAAUCCAAAAGUGAGGCUCCUCCAUUCCUUUCACUAAAAUGUAACAACGAUUUUACUUAGUACUAAUUUAUAGGAGAAAAUUGGAUUCAUUCAUCCACUAAUUUAUAGGAGAAAAUUGGAUUCAUUCAUCCACUAACUUUAGCUAAAUAAUUGUGUUUCUAAAAAUCUUUUAUGUAGAUCAUGAAAGUCUUCUUAUGAAAUAAUAAUAGAAUAUUAUAAAAGAAAAUUAUUCUCUAAACCAAUAGUUAAAGGUUUUGUUCUACCAAGUUUAGGCGGAAGAUGGACCCCAAAUAUUUCACCAACUGGUGGAAAAAAACACAGCUCCAGAUUAAAAUAGCAGUCAAGUAGAAAGAAUUGUUCCAAAAAAAUAAUAAAAAAUACUGAAGUAAGAAGAAUUAGAAAAAUAAAGAUACAAUGAAGGUGAAUAAUCACAAGCAAAAAUCUUGUUUGGUUUUAAUCCUUCUUUUCUUUAGUUUUAAUUGGGCCAGGAGAAAGGAAUUCCAAGGUGGGGUUCAAACCCUAAUUAAAAGGAUAAAAAUUCAAAUAGUGAAUUAAAUGAUCUACUAAGAUUUUUCAUAAAAGUAGAAUCAAGUUCAUUGAUAAUAAUAAUAACUUAAUCAGUGUAAUUUCACAAGUUGAACCUGAAAAAAAAUGGUGUAUGUAACUUUACUAUGUACAUUCCAAUGAGAUCCUAGCUACUAUAUGUUAAAUUAAAUUAAAAGUAAACUUCAAAUAAAGACCAAGACCUUAAAAGUCUAGUUGAAGCACCGUGAAGUUGAAGCACAGUGAAGUUUUCGUCAAAUUGGUUUGGAUGGGUGCUUUAGUGACUCACGGGUCGUUUAAUAGCUGGUUAUAAUUAUUACCUAAGUAAUAGCUAUAUGUAUAAUAAUACUAACCAUCAUUACUACGAGCUAUAAAUUAAAUUGUGCUUUUAAACUAAAAAUGUAUAAAUGUAUCAAAAUAUCUUUGCAUCUUAUGAUCUUUAUACCUGUAUUGAAUUUUAAAAUGCACUAAUAAAAAUAGACAUUGACAUUUUUCUUUAAAUAAUUUAACAAAAGAUAAAACACAAAAAUUGAAACUAAAAUAUAUAGUACUAGUAUAUCAUAAUCCAUAUGCAUUCAGCUUCAUAGUACCUUUUUAACUUGUAAAAAAAAAAAAAGUAGAAGACAAAAGUAAUUAGUGGUAUGGAAUCUCUCAUCUUUAACAAAGCCAUUUGCCUUAAUAUAGUAGGGUUUCUCACUAUAUAAAAAAGAAAGGAUGUUGCUUUAAUGACAAUGCUGCUCCAAGGUUGUUUGAUUAAAAUUUAAAGUUGGGUGGAAUCUUAUAUAUAUGGGGAGAGACGAUAUUACAAAUAAUUUAUUGCUUUCUAUCGAGAGAAAAUAUUAGUACUCUCAUCGUUUUAUUUUACUUGAAAUUCGUUGAACAAUAUUUAUUAGAGAUUUAUUUUACUAAAUUAACUUUAUUAAUUAUAUUUUGAAAAUUAAAUCUGACUAUUUAUACUUUAUAUAGUGAUUCCAUAAUAGGGAGGGUAUUAAAAUAAAAUGAUAAAUUUUUCUCGAUUCAAUAAUUCAAACAAAUAAACUAAAACAAUUACUUUUAACAAGAACGCCAAGUAAACUGAAACCGAAGUAAUAUUAUUUUUAUAUACGAAAAAGAGAAAAAAAAAAAGAACAUGAUUACACCUAAGAUGUUGCUUUAAUGAUAAUGCUCCUAGGUCAUUUUUAAUAAGAAGUUGGGUCCCAUUUUCUAUUAGAAAAGAGUAAAAGAGUACUAGCUAGCAUUUAUAUAGAAGAGAUGGAAAUAGAAUGUGAAAUCCUAUGAAAAAAAAAAUAGACAAAGAAUCCUACUGAGAGAGAAAAAAGAAGUAGAGAUGGUGGAAGUGAUGAGCUUUUUGAUGGAGAAAUUGAAGGAAGCCAUACUAAUGAUGUUCAAUUUUGGUGGUCAUGUGUUUAUGAUGGUGAUAAAUUUUGUUGGGCAAUUGCUAAUGAAACCCAUACAUCUUUUUUGGCAAGGUCUAGUAUCGCUCAAAAAUUUCGGUUGGAAAGUAUUACUAUCGGUGCAAAGUUUUUUUGGACAAGGGCUAUCAUCGCUCAAAAAUUUAGGCUGGAAAGUGCUACUAUCGGUGCAAAAUUUUUUUGGGCAAUUUCUAAUGAAACCCAUAAAUUUUUUCGGGCAAGGGCUAGUUUCGCUCAAAAAUUUAGGUUGGAAAGUGCUACUAUCGGUGAAAAAUUUUUUUGGGCAAGGACUAGCAUCACUCAAAAAUUUAGGCUGGCAAGUGCUACUAUCGUUGCAAAACUUUUUCGGACAUGGGCUAGCAUCGCUCAAGAAUUUUGGUUGGCAAGUGCUACUAUCGUUGCGAAAUUUUUUUGGACAAGUGCCACUGACGCUCAAGAAUUUAGGUUUACGAGUGCUAGUGACACUGAAAAAUUUUGGUGGGCAAAUACUAGCGACGCUGAAAAGUUUUACUUGGCAAGUGAAGAAUUUAUGUGGAAAGCUUAUGAGUUGGUUUGACGAGGUGUUUCCACCAGAGACAAGAGUAGAGAAGAUCAAGUACUGGUUUCACAUAGCUUUACCCUAUCUAAUCAUCACGUUAUUUCUAGCUCUCUUGAUAUGUUGUUGCUACUUCUAUGGUGGAUUACUGAUCAGCGCGAUGAGUUUUCUCAAAAGUAUGUGUGUUGGGGUAAUGAAACUUCUCAAAACAGUGUCUGUUGGAUUGAUGAAGUUUCUCAGAAGCGUAUGCGUUACGCCUAUCAUGAGGCUUCUCAAAAGCGUGUGUGUUACACUGAUGAGGCUUUGCAUAAGACUGAUAGCCCUUGUCGAAAGAGUGUGUGUUANNNNNNNNNNNNNNNNNNNNNNNNNNNNNNNNNNNNNNNNNUGUGUUAGACUGAUAGCCCUUGUCUAAAGAGUGUGUGUUGGACUGAUAGCCCUUAUUAAAAGGGUGUGUGUUGGACUGAUGAACGCUCUCAAAAGAGUCUGCGUGACGCUGAUGAAUUAUCUCAAAAGAGUGAGCACGACACUGAUGAGUUGUCUCAAAAGAGUGUAUGUUAGCCUCAUUGAGAUUCUGAAAUUUCUCUUCCAAUGUUGCUGGCGAAGCAAUAGCAAGAUGAUGAAAGCACCAGGGAGAAACAUUAGGAUUCCAAGGUCUAGUUUUGAGAAAAAUCCCAGAUUAUACUUCACUAAUCUUCGCGCUUAUCCCGGUGAUAUGCAUGUCUAGCUAGAAAGUAUUUUGAUGCAAAUAAAUUCAGUUAGAUUGCUAGAUGGUUUGCCUCUGGAUAUGAUCUUACUCUACUAAUAGUACUGUCUAUGAUGCUGAUACAAGUCGUGGAAUGUGACAAGGAGGUAUUGAGUUCAAGUCGUGAAAAUUGCUCCUUGCAGAAAUGUAAGAUGAGGCCGCGUAUAAUAGAUUCUUAUAGCUCGGCCUUUGUCUGAAAUCCAUGCAUAGCAAAAGCUUUAUUACACUAAAUUGGCCUUUUAAUAGUACUGUCUAUGGUGCCUCUACAACAACACCUUUUGUAAUGAUGCAUAUUAACUAUUUAUAAUGUUUUCCUUUGCAACACAAGAAAGUUAAUCGACAAAGUUGUCACCUGCCAUUUAUGAUUUUGUAUGAUUGACAAUUUUACCUGGUCAGUAUUAUUGAUGUGGUAUACUCCUUAAAUAUUAAUAAAUAAAAUAACAAUUUUAUUAUAAGAGGAAAUUAGGAACUAAAUGAUAGUAAGUUUUCUCUUGAUUUUUUCAAGUUCUCCAAAUAAAAGUGAGCAUUUAUUUCUAAUAGUUGACAAGUUAUAUAAAAUUGGAUUGAGGGGUACUUUUAUUAUCUAAGUUAGUUCGUAAUUAGAAAAGAGUUAAAAGAUCAAAAAUACACCUAAACUAUUUAUCUACAUUAACAAAAUAUAGAGAAAUGGCUAAAGCAAUUAAGCAUUAAAAUAACUGAAAUGUGGUUCGAAAUGAAAAUUGUAGCAGUUAUAAAUUAUAAUACUACUAAACAUAUUCGUCAAAUAUAGAACAUUUUAUAUAAAACUUAAACUCUUGAUAUAUAAUAGAGUAAAUCAUUUUAAAAUAGGUUGUUGAAAAGUAAACAAAGUACGAAUAAUAAAAAAUAUUGAAGUGUUAUUUUCUUUUUUGCGAGUUUCAUAUCUAAAUUAUGUGUUUGCUGCUUUGCGUUUAUUAUUUGAUCUACCACGAAUUAUUUAUAAAAUUCAAAACACACAUUGAAUUAGUUGACUACACCAAGUGUUUGAAUACAACCGUCAAAAGAUGAGUGACAAAGUAAUAAUUUGCUCAUCAAAUUUCGUCCUCAUGACAACUAUCGCAUAAAUUUUGAGACAUAUUUUGAUAAAUAAUUCAAAUAAACAAUAAUCCAAGGGUUUGAAUAUAAUGAUCAAAAGGUACGCGACAAUUAAAUUUGUCCAUAAAAUUUCAUCCACAUAAUAAUUGACUCAUUAAUUCAAUGCUUAUUAAUAAAUAAUAAAAAAUAAUUCAGAUAGAAAACUAAAAAAAAAAAAAUAUACUUCAAAUAUGUUUUUGCUCCUAAUUUUUAGAAAUUGGGACCUAGUUAUAUUUAGCUAGAGAGCUACUAUUACCCAACUAAUCCAUUGGAAAAAAAUUGGGACUCAAUAAUUGUGUUUCUAAUAAAGCUUUGAUCUUGACUAUGGAAGUCUUCUUAUGAAAGAAUAGAAUAUUAUAAAAAGAAAAGGUUGAAAAUUAGUGCUCUAAAACAAUAUGAUAAGGUUGUUCCAUAUUUUAGGUGAAAAAUGGACCCCCAGUCCCCAGAUAUUUCAGAAAAGAAUGUUUAUGAAGACUUAAACCUAAUUUUAAAUAUAAAAAUUCAACUAGGUCAGUCAACAAACGUUUUUUUUUUCGUCAACUUAUUAUAUAUUCCCUUCGUUUAAAAACGAAGUACCUACUUUGAUUUGACAUAAAAUUUAAAAAAAAUAAAUAAAAUUUUUAAAUUUUAUGAUCUUAAAUUAAAGUAGUGUCAAAUGUACUAAAAUAUCUUUUAAUCUUGUGGUCAUAAACAUAAUUGAAAUUAAAGUAUUGUCAAAAAAGGAAAGAGGUCAUUUUUUUGAAACGAACUAAAAAGGAAAGUAAGUUAUUCUUUUUGAAACGGAGGGAGUAGUAUAUAAUCUCUUAUGAAUGAGUAUUUAUUUAUGCUGAAUCAGUUUAGUUCAUUUAAAAUAAUUUUUAAAAUUGUUAAAAUACUGUUCGUUUAAAGUUUUUUGAAAGUAAAACUUUUUGCUUUAACUCUAUGAUCCAUAUAUCUACUCUAACCCCCAAUAACCCAAACUAUUUUUAUAUUUGUAGUGUUAAAUUAAAGUGUAUAGUCCAGGAGAAACUGAGCAGUUGUCAUGUGACUAAAGGUUAUAGGUUCAAAUCAGGGAAAUAACGAUUUGUAAAAAUAUUUGGUGAGACUAGGCCUAUGCAUUUUUCGGUACAAACCGUUAACUCGAAUUGUUAAUUUGCUUAUCGGGUCAAUGGGUCGGUUAUUUUGAAUAUCGGGUUGAUAAUUUCUGCUAUUGGUUUAUCGGUUCGAGCCACCCGAUAAAAUGAUUGGUGCUGGGCUGUACUAGUGGCCUGUUAAUCCACCUAAAAUUCUAAUGCGGCCCGUACUCCACCCAUACCCACUGGCCCAAGUCCAAUUAUUACACCUCUCACUCUCUCUGUCACUACUCGCUACUCACAUCUCUCUCAGUCAGAAAAAAGUUGUUGUUGCUGACAAGAUCGAACUUCGAAUUGAGCCGAAAAUUCGACUUAGAGUCUAUUCGCUACUCACAUCUUCGAUCGAAAAUUGAAGGUCAAAAAAUUUCAGGUAACCCUUUUUCUCCAUAUCAUUUGCAUGUUCAAUUUCUGUUGUUGUUGAUAGUAUUCUACUUCAUCUUCACUUUAUUGUAUUAAGCCAUUAAUGGUGUUGAAAUAGCUCAACAAAACCAUAUUCUGACACCCCCCCCAUUAUAGUUCAGUUCUUGUUUUGCUUAAAGAUUUGAAUCUUUUCUUGUUUUUGGGUAGUGGGGUGUUGGAGAACUAGAGGAAAGAAUUGAUUUUGAUGGUGCUUCACUAACACUCUCUCCAAAUUCAGUUCUUUUCUUGAUACAGUGGCACAGGGCUGCCCUUUAUGUUAUUGUUUGGUACAAUGGCAUUUUUUUUCCUUUUAGUUAUACUUUUGUAUAAAGUGUUCGAUACUAAAAUCUUGUUAAAUGGUUUGUGUACUUCUAUGAAAGAAGCCAUAAUAUGCAGAAUUGGGCGGUUGUACCCGUUGUUGCAUUAUUGGAAAGUUUAGUUCUUUCUUUGCUUAAAGUUUGAAUCUUUUCUUGUUUUUGGGUAGUGGGGUGUGAGAGCAGAAGAACACGGAAAGAAUUUUGUUUGAGUCCCCCCCCCCCCUUGUUCUUUCUUUGCUUAAUGUUUGGAUCUUUGCUUGUUUUUGGAUAGUGGGUGUGAGAGAAGUAGAGGAAAGAAUUGAUAAUGUUAUUCAUUGUGUAUGUGUUAUUUGUGGUGCUCGUCGAAUUUGAUUAGUUAUUUGUGAUAUGCAAUUUUUUUUUUUCACUCCUCAACAAGUUAUGAUCGUGGACUGUAUUAGCCUACUUUAUUUCCCUCAAAGGCUCAAAUCCAACUAAAUUCUCUCACUACCCAGUAGGAAACAGUCAUGCAUUCCUUGUUUUCUGUUAACUUUUUUCUCUUUUUGGUAGCUACUAGUAGAACACUAAUUAUUUUGGACUUGCUCAUGCAUGGUAUGCAGCAAUUAAAUUCUGAAGCUAGCAGGAUAAAAAGACAUGGGUGAUCAGUACUGGUCACUAUUAGGUCCCCUCAUAUUUGAAUUUUUCUUUAGCCUUUUUGAUCAUUACUAAUAAAAAUGUUCAAUUUUAGUUACUGCAAUCUUAUAUCAUUGCCUCCCACAUGACUAUAUUUGCAGUAUGUAUGUACACUUGGUUUUUCAUUGCAUACUAGAACUUUUACUGUCAUUGCUGAGUUAAUGUAUAGCAAUUAUUGCUAGGUUUAUUUCUUUUAUUUAUCUUAUCCUAAGCAGUAGGCAGUGAGAACUAAGCAGCAAGCACUUAGCCUGGCAGUCCGAAGUAGCUUGCUUACUAGCUUUAGACUUUAAAUUAUAUAUGUUCAAUGUUAAUGGUUAACCCGAUAUUCGAACCGAUAACAAUGAAAAAUCAAUAAACCGAUAACCGAUUAACCGAUAUCUUAACGGUUCUUUAACGAUUUUGCAUGUAUACAAACCCUGAUAUGCAGCCCUAGGUGAGACUAUGUAUAAUACAUUCUUGUGAUCUUACUCUUUCGCAGGCCUCUUGCAUAUAGUUGAAAUUUGGCUUAAGUCAUCGAUAGACCCUCAAACUUGUCCCAAAAAUUCAGUUAGACCCCUCAACUAAGGUUUGUACCUAUUAGACCCCUAAUCCACCCGAAUUUUGAUCCAAUUGGACCCUUUUUUUCCAAUCAGCUUAAAGCCAAAGUGUGUGCAACACACAUGCGAUGAUGUGACAAACCCAUAACCUGAAGAUCACAUGAAAAUAACUUUACUAGUUACUCUAACGCUUCCGAGACACUUUUGUAAUAUGCAGAUAGGUCCAAAAAAUAAAGGAAAAACAACAUAGAAAUCCAAGCUUAAUCAUCUUGCGCUGCAGGUAACUAAACAAUCUCAGAAGUUUUGUCCUGAGGCUAUAGUAUUUCUUCAAACUUUGCUGAUGGCAGCUUUAGACAGGGAACAGCGAUUUGAAAAUUUACAGGUUUGGCUUUACUUCAGUGUUUGAGCCGAGGGUCUAUUGGAAACAACCUCUCUACCUCUAUAUUCGGGUUGCUUCCUUCCACUUGUAAAUUGAAAGUCAUAUUCUCGUGCUGCAGUUGAAUGACCUUAUGGAGAUCAAAGAACUUGGGCCUUUGCUUUGCAUAUGCAGUAGCAAUGCGGAGAUGGGUUCUUUAGAUUCUCUUGAGCUAAUGGACUUACCAGAGGACUCGCAUUAUUUUGACUCUGAUAAUUACAGGUCAGUUAGUAGCAUUCUAGUGACAUAGGCAAAUCUAUUUGAGGAAUCUCAAAAGUUCGUUAAAUCUUUGAAUAUGGCUCUAUGUUAAGAUACACUUGAGACAAAUUAUAAAUAUGUUCGAUAAGUUUUUUACCUAGGUCUAAUUCAAGAUGUGGUCUGUUAAACUUUUAGUUUCCUAAUAAUACUAUUGUCAAUCACCUAGUUGACAUAACAAGUAUAUUGCUCUCUCUCUAAAAUUUUUAUAGGCCUGGAAAUUCUGCUGCAAUUUUUUUUUUCCAGGACUUGUUGAACUUGAUGAGAUUAAAUGUUUUCUCAUGCAGGGCUAGCAUCCUCGUAACAGUUCUGGAAACCCUGCAAGGAUUUGUUAAUGUAUAUAAGGACCUUAUUUCUUUUCCUGAGAUUUUCAUGCUAAUUUCAAAAUUAUUAUGCAAAUUGUCCGGAGAAAAUCAUAUUCCAGGUGCAUUAAGGGAGAAAAUCAAGGAUGUAUCCCAAUUAAUUGACACAAAGUCUCAGGAACAUCACAUGUUGCGUUAACCUUUGAAAAUGCGUAAGAAAAAACCUGUGUCCAUCAGGAUGCUUAAUCCGAAAUUCGAGGAGAAGUAAGAUACUCUUCUUAUUGCCUUAUCUUUAAUCAAAAGAAUCAUAUUGCUCGUUUCCUGUCGAGCUUUACUCAUCUGGUGAUCAUAUACAUCUGCAGCUAUGUCAAGGGUAGAGAUUAUGAUCCAGAUCGUGAGCGUGCUGAAAAGAAAAAGUUGAAAAAACGUAUAAAAGAGGAAGCUAAAGGUGUUGCAUGAGAAUUGCGGAAGGACAAAGAUUUCUUGGCCAAGGCAAAGGAAAGGGAAAAGGCCCUACUGGCCGAAGAGAAGGCUGAGAAAUAUGAGAAAGCUCUUGCCUUUCUUCAAGAAAGGAGCAUGCAUUUAAAUCAGGGCAAUUGGGAAAGGGCCGGAGAGAAGAAGAUGAAAUUAGCUUUUGGUUUUUACUUGAAAAUCUUAUCUCUAAAGCUUCUCGUCUUUUGGUAAGGUUUGUUCUUUAUUUUGCAUUGACAGUGAAUAUAUAAGUACUCCGUCUACUAUACUACAAAUAGAUAUCACUUCACUGUCAACAUCCAAUAGAUAUCCCUACUACUAGAGUGACCCAUUUUAAUGCUUGUUUUUUUUCUACCAGCGUUUCUUUGCUUCACACUUAUAUGUCCUUUGUUCGCUCCCUCUCUUGCUUGGCAUGGUCUCAACAUAUUAGUGUGUUCUUUAUUUAAUAUUGGAGCUAAAUGUGGGCAAUGUUUAUAUAAAUACUAAUGAACACACCAUAAUGCUACAUAUCAGUAUUAAAAGUGUUAUUGAUACAAAAUAUUGAAACUCUUCUCCUUUAUUGUUCCUAGGAAUGGAAGACGCUGAAUGCUGGAGGUACAGAGGAUUGAAUGAGCAAUCGCAUUGUUUCGGUGAUGGUUACAACACGUGCGUCCAUCUUUCCCGUCCAACUGUGCCACCGUGUUUCCUCUGCACCUGGUGAAGCGUUAGAGCUCAUCGAAUUUUGUCUCAUGUCUUCUAGCAGAAGAUCAGUUUGUCCAACACUAUCUGCAAAUUUAAUGUCUCGAGUUGUAAAAAAGGAAUAACUAUGUUCCUCGAACCUAAUGUGCAUGGUUACUUGUCUUUUGUUGUAUUUGUAGUUUUACAUCUAACUGAAUAGAGUUAAAUUCGUUAUAGUAUUAGAAGUCAUUUAUGUUAUAGUUCGGUUAUACCCUACGAUUGGAUGCAGAGAAGAGAGUUUACAAUCCCAAAGGGGCUAUAGUUUCCUUUUCAAACCUGUUUUGGAAUGUUACUUGUUUUUAUAGACCCUCUACUCGAAAUAACAAAAGUGGAAAUGUCAUAAAUAUUUUAUAAAGCAAUUUGAAGAAAAGGAACAAUAUCCAAUUCCCACUUUGUGGAUUUCAUUGGGUGUGCUGUUGUUGAAGAAAAGUGACAAUAACUAGUACAAAAUAAGACAACUACAAUAAUAACAUAUUCGGUGUAUUUUUAUAAAGCAGGAUUUGAGGAGGAUAAAGUAUACGCAAAUAGAUUUCGGUUCAGGACAAACAACAAUAUAUCAAGCAAAAACAUAAAAACAAACAACCAAUAGGUCACGUACCAUUAGAUAACAAAAGAAAUAAAACACCCGCAGAGUGACACUAUGGACUAUCUAUUCGAAAAUCAAAAACAUCACCAAAACACCACGGAUAAGAAACUACAAGACAGCAUAACACUAUGGCUACAAAUAUAUCUACAAAUAAAAUACUCCUCCCUACUAGUAAGAACGCAUGCCUACCCACUAACUUUCUAUCCUAAUUCGCGUCCUCCACACCUUUCAAUCAAGGGUCAUGUCCUCCGUAAGCUAUAACUGCUUCAUGUCAUGCCUAAUCACUUUCCUCCAAUAUUUCUUCGGCCUACCUCUACCCUGUUUGAAAUUAUUCAUAGCCAACCUCUUACACCUCCAUAUUGGGGCUUUCGUGCACCUCUUCAUCAUAUGUCCAAACCAUCUUAAUCUAACUUUCGGUGACUUGUCUUUUCUCGAAGCUACUCCCACCUUCUCUCAAAUAAUCUCAUAUCGAAUCCUAUCCUUCCUAGUAAGUCCACACAUCCAUCUCAACAUCUUCAUCUUCGCCAUCUUCAAUUUUGGAUGUGGGAGUUCUUAACUGGCCAACACUCCGCUCCAUACAACAUAGUCGGUCUGACUAACACUCUGUAGAAUUUACCUUUAAGCUUACAAGGAACCUUUUUAUCACACAAGACUCUCGAAGCGAGCCUCUAUUUCAAUCACCGUGUACCAAUACAGUACGUGACAUCCUUUUCAAUCUCUCCAUUCCCAUGAAUUAUAGAUCCAAGAUACUUGAAACUGUCUUUCUUUUGAAUGGCCUGAGAAUCCAACUCCACUGCCAUGUUCGUCUCAUGCGUCAAAUUACUGAACUUACACUCAAAGUACUCCACCUUGGUCCUGCUCAACAUAAACCCUUUAGACUCCAGGGUAUGUAUUCAAACCUCCAACUUAUCAUUAAAUCCUUCUUGGAUCUCGUCAAUAAGCACUACAUCAUCAACAAAUAACAUACAACAAGACACUUCUCUUUGAAUAUGCCGCGUUAAUAUGUCCAUCACCAAGGCCAAUAAAAACGGUUUAAGAGUUGGUCCCUAAUGCAACCCUGUCAAAAUAGAAAAGUGCUCCGAAUCUCCUCCUGCCGUCCUCACACGAGUCUUUGCUUCGUCGAACAUGUCCUAAAUCGACUUAGGAUACGCCACCGACACAUCUCUUGCCUCCGGGAACCUCCACAAAACCUUUCUGGAGACUUUGUGGUACACCUUCUUAAGAUCGAUUAACACCAGGUGCAAGCCCUUCUUCUUCUCCCUAUACUGCUCUACUAAUCUUCUCAUGAGAUGAAUGGCCUCGGUAAUCGAGCGACCUGACAUGAAAUCAAACUGAUUCUCAAAAUAGUCAUGAUCCUCCUCAGCCUCAAUUUACCAUUCUUUAUCAAACCUUCAUGAUAUAACUCAAUAACUUGAUACCCCUACAGUUGUUACAACUCUAAAUGUCCCCCUUGUUCUUAUAUAAUGAAAUCAUCGUGCUUUCGACAUCUCCACCAUUCUAAAAAUAAUGUUAAACAACAUUGUCAGCCACUUCAUACCUGUCAAUUCAGUGCUAGCUCUUUAAAAAAUUCACUGAAAUUUGUCUGCUCCAGUCGCCCUACUCCUACGCAUCCUACGAAUAACACCCUUGACCUCCUCAGCCUUAAUACGUCCAUAACAAUCAUAAUCGCGACACCUUCCUCAGUGCUCCAAGUUCCCCAACACUAAACCGCUGUCCCCCCGUCAUUUAAAAGUUAAUGAAAAUAAGACCGUCACCUCGUCCUAAUGAAGGCGUCAUCCACUAACACUUUGCAAUCCUCUUCCUUGAUGCAUUUCACUUGGUCAAGGUCACGAGCCCUCCUUUGCCUAGCCUUUACAAUCCUAUAUAACUUCUUAUCCCCGUGUUUCUCCUCUAAAACUGCAUAUAAGCCCUCGAAAGCCGUUUCUUGGUAACCGUUAACUUGGCCUCUUUCCUGACUAACUUAUACUCUUUCCUAUUCAUCCGCUUCUCAUCGUCAUCCUUGCUCUCCACCAACUUCGCAUAAGCUACUGUCUUAGUCUCCAACUUCCUUUUAACUUCUUUGUUUCACCACCAGUCCCCCGAUGUUUACUAGAUCGGCCUCUCGAGAAACCCAAUACCUCUCUACCAGUCUCCCUGAUACAACCGACAGUCAUCUCCCACAUACUAUCCAUGCACAUCCCCUCUACUUUUCUAAUUUCCUAUAGUCGUCAGCUUCUCUUCUAUCUCCAAGGCGCUGGUCAAAGUUAAUCUACCCCACUUAGUCCUGGGUCGAUCCUCCACACCCCUAUUUGUUCCUACCCUUCUUGAUCAUUUCCAAGUCCAUCACCAGAAACUUAAGUUGGGUCAAAAGAUUCUCGCUAGGUAUGACCUUAGAGUCUUUACAUAGUGCUCUUUCACCCUUCCUGAGGAGCAAAGAGUUUAUCUGAAUUUUGAUCCCCAAACUACGAAAAGUAAGAAGGUGCUCCUCCUUCUUCGAGAAGCUUGAAUUCGCUACCACCACUCCACAGGCCCUAGCAAAAUUCAAAAAUGAGGCUCCUCUGUCAUUCUUUUUUCCGAAAUCGAACUCUCCAUACACAACAUCAUAGCCUCUCGACAAUGACCGAUAUGCCCAUUGAAAUCACUUCCUACGAAAAGCUUUUCAUUGCUCGAAACACCUUUCACCACGUGCAAGUACACCAAAAUCUUGUUUGACCCGAUCCCACUAUCCCUAUGCAUCCUACGAAUAGUACAAAAUAAAACAAUAACCGAAAUUUAAGAAACACAUACUAACAAAAACCGGAGGAUAAGAAAUUACAUAAGUAGUACUACCGAGUACAAAACUACAAAUACAAAAGGAUAAACGUAAGAACGCUCUUACUUAGUAUUAAUUUAUAGGAGAAAAUUGGAUUCAUUCAUCCACUAACUUUAGCUAAAUAAUUGUGUUUCUAAAAAUCUUUUAUGUAGAUCAUGAAAGUCUUCUUAUGAAAUAAUAAUAGAAUAUUAUGCUCUAAACCAAUAGUUAAAGGUUUUGUUCUACCAAGUUUAGGUGGAAGAUGGACCCCAAAUAUUUCACAACUGGUGAAAAGAAACACAGCUCCAGAUUAAAAUAGCAGUCAAAGUAGAAAGAAUUGUACCAAAAAAAUAAUAAAAAUAGUGAAGUAGGAAGAAUUAGAAAAAUAAAGAUAGAACGAAGGUGAAUAUUCAUAAGCAAAAAUCUUGUUUUUUUUUUUUUUUUUUUUUUUUUUUUUUUUUUUUUUUUAAUUUUUAUUUUGAGUUUUAAUUGGGUCAGAAGGGGAAUCCUCAUUGAAAAGAUAAAAAUUCAGAUAGUCAACGAACUGAGCUACUUAAAUUUUUCAUAAAAAUAUAAUUAUUUAUUUUUAAGAAAAAAGUCUUCAUAUCAAACACACCCAUAAUAUGUUAUGAACCAAUUAUCCCACAUUGGAAAAAUAGAGAAAUGCUAAGAGGUUUAUAGGCCAAAUGUAUUUUCCCACCUAUCAAGCUAGUCUUUUGAGUUGGGCUCUCCUGUUUGAUUUAUAACAUAAUACCUAGAACUUCUUCAUUAUAGCUAUCACAAUGGGGAAUUCUCCUUAACUUAUUCAAUUAAAACUAAACUUCAAAUAAAGACCAAGACCUUAAAAGUUAAAAGUCUAGUUGAAGCACAGUGAAGUGUUCAGCAAAUUUGUUUGGGUGGGUGCUUUGGUGAUUUACCGGUCGCUUAGUAGCUGAUUACAAUUAUUAUGUAGGUAUUAGCUAUAGAUAUAAUAAUUCUAACCAUCAUUACCGCAAGCUAUAAAUUUAAUUGUGCUUUUAAACUAAAAAUGUAUAAAUGCAUUCAAAUAUCCUUUGCAUCUUAUAAUCUUAUACCUAUCACAUGAAAUAUCGAAACUAAAAGUGCACUAAUAAAAAUAGACAUUGGCAUUUUUCUUUUAAUAAAUUAACAAAAAAAGAAAACACAUAAAUUGAAACUAAAAUAUAUAGUACUAGUAUAUCAUAAUUCAUAUGCAUUCAUAUUGCACUUUUAACUUUUAAAAAAAAAGUAUAAGACAAAAGUAACUAGUGGGUAUGGAAUCUCUCUUCUUUAACAAAACCAUUUGCCUUAGUCACUACAUAAAAAAGAGAGGAUGUUGCUUUAAUGACAAUGCUCCAAGGUUGUUUGAUUAAAUUGGGGUGAAAUCUUAUAUAUAGAGACUUUAUUACAAAUAAUCUUUUGCUUUGUAUUGAGAGAAAAUAUUAGCACUUCCACCAUUUCAAUUUACUUGACAUUCAUUUAAUAAUAUUUAUUAAAGAUUUAUUUUGUUAAAUUUAUUAAUUAUGUUCUAGAAAUUAAAUCUGACUAUUUAUAUUUUAUAUAGUGAUUCAAUAAUAAAAAGGGUAUUAAAAUAAAAUGAUAAAUUUCUCUCGGUUCAAUAAUUCAGAUAAGUAAACUAAAACAACUAAACUCCAAGUAAAUUGAAACUGAAGUAAUAUUAUUUUUAUGUACGAAAAAGAGAAAAAAAUAAAGAACAUGAUUGCACCUAUGAUGUUGCUUUAAUGACAAUGCUCCUAGGUUAUUUUUAAUUAAAAAGUUGGGUCCCAUUUUUCUAUUAGAAAAGAGUACUAGCUAUCACUACUAAAGAAGAGAUGGGAAUAGAAUGUGAAAUCCUUGGAAAAAAAUAAAAUAGACAAGAAUCCUACUAAGAGAAAAAAAGAAGAAGUAGUGAUGGUGGACGUGAUGAGCUUUGUGUUGGAGAAAUUGAAGGAAGCCAUACUAAUGAUGUUCAAUUUUGGUGGUCAUGUGUUUAUGAUGUUGAUAAAUUUUGUAGGGCAAUUGCUAAUGAAACCCAUACAUUUUUUUGGCAAGGGCUAGUAUUGCUCAAAAAUUUUAGUUGGAAAGUACUACUAUAGGUGCAAAGUUUUUUUUGACAAGAACUAGCUUCGCUCAAAAAUUUAGGCUGGAAAGUGCUACUAUUGGUGCAAAAUUUUUUUUGGACAAUUUCUAAUAAAACCCAUAAAUUUUUUCGGGCAAUGGCUAGUUUCACUAAAAAAUUUAGGUUGGAAAGUGCUACUAUCGAUACAAAAUUUUUUUGGGCAAGGACUAGUGUCACUCAAAAAUUUCGGUUGGUAAGUGCUAAUAAAUUUGCAAAACUUUUUUGGACAAGGACUAGCAUCGCUCAAGAAUUUUGGUUGGCAAGUGCUACUAUCGUUGCGAAAUUUUUUUGGACAAGUGCCACUGACGCUCAAGAAUUUAGGUUUGCGAGUGCUAGUGAAACUGAAAAACAUUGGUCGGCAAGUACUAGUGACGCUGAAAAGAUUUAGUGUGCAAGCGUUAGUAGUGCUUGACAAUUUUACUUGGCAAGUGAAGAAUUUAUGUGGAAAGCUUAUGAGUUGGUUUGACGAGGUGUUUCCACCAGAGACAAGAGUAGAGAAGAUCAAGUACUAGUUUCACUUAGCUUUACCUUAUCUCAUCAUCGCGUUGUUUCUAGCUCUCUUGAUAUGUUGCUGCUACUUCUAUGGUGGAUUACUGAUCAGCGUGAUGAGUUUUCUCAAAAGUAUGUGUGUUGGAGUAAUGAAACUUCUCAAAACAGUGUGUGUUGGAUUGGUGAAUUUUCUCAGAAGCGUAUGCGUUAUGCCUAUCAUGAGGCUUCUCAAAAGCGUGUGUGUUACACUGAUGAGGCUUUGCGUAAGACUGAUAGCCCUUAUCGAAAGAGUNNNNNNNNNNNNNNNNNNNNNAGAAUGUGUGUUAGAUUGAUAGGUCUUGUCUAAAGAGUGUGUGUUAAGACUAGUAGCCCUUAUCGAAAGAGUAUGUGUUGGACUGAUGAACACUCUCAAAAGAGUCUGCGUGAUGCUGAUGAAUUAUCUCAAAAGAGUGAGUAUGACGCUGAUGAGUUAUCUCAAGAGCGUGUACGUUAGACACAUUGAGAUUCUAAAAUUUCUCUUCCCAUGUUGCUGGCGAAGCGAUAACAAGAUGAUGAAAGCUCCAGGGAGAAACAUUAGGAUUCUAAGAUCUAGUGUCACACCCCCAAAUUCCAUCGGGCCGGACUGGCACCCGAAACCGAGAAAGCCCGGGAGAACCCGUUCAGAUACCUGUACUUUCACUUACAUGUCACCAAAAAUUUGGACAGCACUUCGUUGCAUAUAGAAGGGUCUAAUUACCUGUAUCAGCACAACACACACAAAUAUAUAUAUAUAUAUAAUACUUGGCCGUCGGGGCCACCACAUAUACAAAUAUAACAUCACUAUAUAAACUUCCAUGAAUUUACCCUUCCUUAUGUCUACAAAGCCUCUAGGAUAUACAUGACAUAACUAGGGUCGGGAAAAACCCCCGCCCUCACAUGACCCCUGUACAAUAACAAAACAUAACUGCCCAACUCGGAAAGCUCCGAAGCAAACUGAAGCUCACCAACAAUAGCUGUAUGACCUGGCUCCUAUCUAUGCUGUGAAUGAGCUGAAGCACCUGUGCCUGCAGCAUGAAAUGCAAGUCCCCCGUGAGGGACAUCAGUACGAAAUAUGUNNNNNNNNNNNNNNNNNNNNNNNNNNNNNNNNNNNNNNNNNNNNNNNNNNNNNNNNNNNNNNNNNNNNNNNNNNNNNNNNNNNNNNNNNNNNNNNNNNNNNNNNNNNNNNNNNNNNNNNNNNNNNNNNNNNNNNNNNNNNNNNNNNNNNNNNNNNNNNNNNNNNNNNNNNNNNNNNNNNNNNNNNNNNNNNNNNNNNNNNNNNNNNNNNNNNNNNNNNNNNNNNNNNNNNNNNNNNNNNNNNNNNNNNNNNNNNNNNNNNNNNNNNNNNNNNNNNNNNNNNNNNNNNNNNNNNNNNNNNNNNNNNNNNNNNNNNNNNNNNNNNNNNNNNNNNNNNNNNNNNNNNNNNNNNNNNNNNNNNNNNNNNNNNNNNNNNNNNNNNNNNNNNNNNNNNNNNNNNNNNNNNNNNNNNNNNNNNNNNNNNNNNNNNNNNNNNNNNNNNNNNNNNNNNNNNNNNNNNNNNNNNNNNNNNNNNNNNNNNNNNNNNNNNNNNNNNNNNNNNNNNNNNNNNNNNNNNNNNNNNNNNNNNNNNNNNNNNNNNNNNNNNNNNNNNNNNNNNNNNNNNNNNNNNNNNNNNNNNNNNNNNNNNNNNNNNNNNNNNNNNNNNNNNNNNNNNNNNNNNNNNNNNNNNNNNNNNNNNNNNNNNNNNNNNNNNNNNNNNNNNNNNNNNNNNNNNNNNNNNNNNNNNNNNNNNNNNNNNNNNNNNNNNNNNNNNNNNNNNNNNNNNNNNNNNNNNNNNNNNNNNNNNNNNNNNNNNNNNNNNNNNNNNNNNNNNNNNNNNNNNNNNNNNNNNNNNNNNNNNNNNNNNNNNNNNNNNNNNNNNNNNNNNNNNNNNNNNNNNNNNNNNNNNNNNNNNNNNNNNNNNNNNNNNNNNNNNNNNNNNNNNNNNNNNNNNNNNNNNNNNNNNNNNNNNNNNNNNNNNNNNNNNNNNNNNNNNNNNNNNNNNNNNNNNNNNNNNNNNNNNNNNNNNNNNNNNNNNNNNNNNNNNNNNNNNNNNNNNNNNNNNNNNNNNNNNNNNNNNNNNNNNNNNNNNNNNNNNNNNNNNNNNNNNNNNNNNNNNNNNNNNNNNNNNNNNNNNNNNNNNNNNNNNNNNNNNNNNNNNNNNNNNNNNNNNNNNNNNNNNNNNNNNNNNNNNNNNNNNNNNNNNNNNNNNNNNNNNNNNNNNNNNNNNNNNNNNNNNNNNNNNNNNNNNNNNNNNNNNNNNNNNNNNNNNNNNNNNNNNNNNNNNNNNNNNNNNNNNNNNNNNNNNNNNNNNNNNNNNNNNNNNNNNNNNNNNNNNNNNNNNNNNNNNNNNNNNNNNNNNNNNNNNNNNNNNNNNNNNNNNNNNNNNNNNNNNNNNNNNNNNNNNNNNNNNNNNNNNNNNNNNNNNNNNNNNNNNNNNNNNNNNNNNNNNNNNNNNNNNNNNNNNNNNNNNNNNNNNNNNNNNNNNNNNNNNNNNNNNNNNNNNNNNNNNNNNNNNNNNNNNNNNNNNNNNNNNNNNNNNNNNNNNNNNNNNNNNNNNNNNNNNNNNNNNNNNNNNNNNNNNNNNNNNNNNNNNNNNNNNNNNNNAUUAGAAAGAAGACUCUCAGGGCUUCUCAUCGAUAUAUAGCAGCUCACACAGUUCAUUUUUUACAAGGAUUUAUGAUCGUUUAAAGUCAACCCAAAAAUCUGUUUGGCUGCAGUACUUUUGUGUGCAGAAAAUUUCUGCACAUUUACUGUUCAUUGCGUCCACCGUUUUCAAGUUUCGAACAUGCUCGCUUAUAUCUGAUACUCAUCUGUUUUCAAAAAUCUUUAUAUCGUUGGAAAGCUAACUCGAUAAAAUUCGGAUAGGAACUUCGACGAGCAAAUUUCGGUAUAAAUAAAGUCGAUUCCUAUACACAUAUAAUCAAACUAUACAGUUGAAACCAUCUCAAAAUAAUCAAUACUCAUACUUAAACUCAUAUAUACCUAACUUAUGGUCAAUACAUAUACUCCAACACAUAUAACCAUGGCUAAUGCACGUAAUUAAGUACUGGGUGUUACAUCUAGUUUUGAGAAAAAUCCCAGAUUAUACUUCUCUAUUCUUCGUGCUUAUCCCGGUGACAUGCUUGUUGGGUUCUUAGUAUAUGAAAGAAGUGUGAAUGGAAAAUGAAGAAUAAAAUGGUGGAGGGGAAGGAGACACUAAAAUGGAAGGUGUACUCUCAAAUUAGAAAGUUUACUCUUUCUCCCACAUUGGUGGAAGAAGAGAACUUGAAAGUGUUUAUAAUCAAGAACACUUACUCCACAUGGCAAGUGAGGCAAGAAAUAAUAGAUGCCUCACGUCAUCAUCGUCGUCGCUCGCUAGGCUUCGUCUUUGGCUUCGGCUGCGGAUGAUCGAUCGAUGAGAUCUGUCUUUUUGGACAAACUUUAUUUGAAUUUCAAAGAAUGCCAAGGAAAAAUGCAGUAAAAAAAUUUCUGUAGAUUCAGACCUCCAUUUAUAUAUACAUGCAAUAACAAUUGCACUGUUUCAAGUGAAUUGAUGCAUUAUUUUUGAACUAGUGCUUUAGAAAUGAUACAUUGUUCUAAACUAAGGCUACAUAAGGUUGCAAUAGUUCAAAAUGAUGCUUCAGAAGGAUGUAAUCCUUCAAUGAACUGAUACACUGAUUCAUGAAAUGAGAUGACUGUUCAGGAAAAGAUGCAAUCUUUGAUGAACAAACAUGAACUUACAACAAAGGUGUAACCUUUGGAGUGAACCAUUGCCUCUUUUCAGAAGAGGCAUGUUGUGGCUAUAUAAACCUGGUUUCUUCCCCAGGUUUAGUACGAAAAUUUUCAGAUUAAAAAACUCUCUUCUUGUCUUAAAAAAAUAUUUUGUGUUAUCACUCAAAAUGUUUUGUGAGUUCGAAGAUAUUCCAACCGUUUGAGGUACCACUACUGUUGGUCUAUUAGCCAUUUUAUCCUGGAAGAAAAAAUUUUACAACCUCGGGUACAAAGAGGGGGAUUAUUUCCUUAAGGAAAAUUCGUGAAUUCGGACGACUUGGCUAUUUUCCGUUUCAUCUUAAUUUCUGCAAAAUAAAAUACACCUCUUGGAAAGGUCAUUUUGAUCUUGUGUUGAGGGUAUUUGAUAUACUUCAUUGUAUUCUUGUUUAUACUUGAACUCAAGUUGAAGUUGGUGUUGUAAUAUACAGAUUCUGUGUACCCGAAGUACAAAUGAUAGAUAACAAUCUUAAGAAAAUAAUAAUUUUACAGAAUCUGUAUAACUUGUUUUUGGAUAUUAAAGCUUUAAGCUUUCUACUCCGCUUGAAUUUAACUAGUGAUUAGAAGAAAUAAAAUCUUCAUCACAAGUUAAAGUUCACUCGGUUGACGAUUUGAAGUUAUAAAAACUUCAUCGUUAAUUAGAAACAAGAAGAAAAGUUGAAAAGUUAUUUAACUUUAUAAGUAGUAUUCUGAAAAUACUAAAUUUUUUUGUCUUGUGUUGACAGGAAGAUGACUAACGAAAGUCAAAUGAUAGAUGCGACAACGUCUGUGGGGGAAACUAAUAUUGCCACAUCAAGUCGCACAAAUGCUCCGCCAACGAUGGCACCGGCGGAGAAUUUCAAAAAAAUUUCGGGCAUUGACUUCAAUCAGUGGAAGCAAAAGAUGUUCGUUUACCUCACCACUUUAUGUCUGCAACGGUUCACUAGCGAAGACGCUCCUGAGGUACUCGAGGGAACCUCGGACAAAGACCGCUUCAUUAUUGUAGAAGUUUGGAAACAUUCGGACUUCCUUUACAGAAAUUAUAUUCUGAGUGGUCGGUCUCCAAGACGACCUCUACAAUGUUUAUAGUGGAACCAAGACAUCAAAGGAACUGUGGGGGCACUUGAACGAAAAUAUAAGAUGGAGGACGCGGGAAUUAAGAAAUUCCUUGUUACACCGUUUCUGGACUUCAAAAUGAUAAAUAGCAAAUCUGUUGUCUCUCAAGUACAGGAGUUGCAAGGCAUCAUACAUGAUCUCCUAGCAGAAGGUAAAUCUUUGAAAAAUAGCUUAGUUGAACAAAUUAAAAAUGUUCUUAAUACUUACAUAAACUAUUUUGUAGGUUUAAUUGUGAAUAACGCUUCCCAAGUAGCAACGAUAGUUGAGAAGCUACCACCUUUGUGAAAAGACUUCAAAAACUACUUAAAACAUAAACGCAAGGAGAUGACUGUUGAAGAUCUUAUUGUCCGACUUCGUAUUGAAGAGGAUAAUAAAGUUGUUGAAUGAAGGUCAAAGGGGAAUUCUACAAUGAAUGGAGCGCAUAUUGUAGAAGAUGACCAAAACAAUUCCAAGAAAAGGAAGAAAGCUGAACAAGGAAGCAAUCAACCCAAGAAAAAGUUCAAAGAAAAAUGCUUCAACUGUGGCAAGAUUGGCCACAAGUCCACAUAUUAUCGUGCCCCAAAGAAAGGCAAGAAGAAGGAUUAAGCAAAUAUGAUUGAAUCCAACAAAGAAUGCGAUGAUCUGUGUGCUAUGUUCUCAGAAUAGAACUUGACGGGGAAUCCUCACGAAUGGUGGAUGGAUUCUGGUGCCACCCGCCAUGUAUGUGCCAACAAGGAGUUGUUUUCGUCAUUUGUACCGACUCAAGCAGAAGAAAUGAUCUACAUGGCUAACUCCGCUACUGUUAAGGUGGACGAAAUAGGAAAAAAUUGCUUAAAGAUGACUUCCGGCAAGGUCUUGACACUGAACAAUGUAUUAUAUGUUUCGGAGUUAUGUAGGAACUUAAUUUCUGUUUCACUCCUAGAUAAGGACGGAUUCAAAUGUGUAAUCGUUUCUGAAAAAAUUGUAAUUAGCAAAGGAGAAAUGUAUGUAGGAAAAGACUAUCUGACCGAAGGCCUUUAUAAGAUGAAUGUAAUUACUGCUGAAAUAAAUAAAAGUUCGAAUUCUUCUUAUUUACUUGAGUCUUAUGAUUUAUGGCAUGAACGUUUAGGCCAUGUUAAUUACAAAACGUUACAAAAACUGAUUAACUUAAAAGUUUUGCCAAACUUUGAGUGCAAUAAAUCAAAGUGUCAAACGUGUGUGGAAUCGAAGUAUGCAAACCAUCCUUAUAAGUCCAUUGAAAGGAAUUCCAAUCCCUUAGACUUAAUAUACACUGACAUUUGUGAUAUGAAGUCAACACCAUCACGUGGUGAAAAAAAGUAUUUCAUAACUUUUAUUAACGAUUGCACUGGAUAUUGUUAUGUCUACUUGCUAAAUAGUAAGGAUGAAGCAAUUGAUGCGUUUAGGCAAUAUAAAACUGAAGUUGAAAAUCAAUUAGACAAAAAUAUCAAAAUGAUAAGAAGUGAUAGGGGUGGAGAAUAUGAAUCUCCCUUUGCGCAAAUAUGUGUAGAUAAUGGAAUAAUCCAUCAAACUACGGCCCCAUAUUCACCUCAAUCUAAUGGAAUUGCGGAAAGAAAAAAUCAAACUUUGAAGAAAAUGAUGAAUGCCUUACUUAUAAGUUCUGGUUUACCACAAAACUUAUGGGGGGAGGCUAUCCUAAUAUUUCAAAGUGUGGGGGUGUCUAGCGAAGGUGCAAGUUCCUAUACCUAAAAGGGUUAAGAUAGGACCUAAAAUGGUGGACUGCGUGUUCAUAGGAUAUGUUAAAAGUAGUAAAGCAUGUCGAUUUUUGGUCCAUAAAUCCAAACAUCCGGAUAUUAAUGAAAAUAUGAUAAUUGAAUCAGAUAAUGCUGAAUUCUUUGAAAAUAUUUACCCGUAUAAACUUACACAUGAACAGUCUAGUGGAGGAUCUAAACGAGUUCGAGAUGAACCAAGUGAGAAUGUACAUAAUGAAAAAAAUCUAAGACGUAGCACACGUCAAAGAACGUCAACUUCAUUUGGAUCGAAUUUUGUAACAUUUCUCUUAGAAAAUGAGCCUCAAAUAUUUAAAGAAGCGAUGUCGUCGUCAGACUAAUCCUUUUGGAAAAAGGCGGUUAAUAGUGAGAUAGAUUCAAUCUUAAGCAGCCAUACAUGGGAAUUGGUUGACCUUCCUCCCAAAAAUAAAUCGUUAGGUUCUAAAUGGAUCUUCAAACGGAAAAUGAAGGUGGAUGGUACUAUUGAAAAAUACAAGACAAGACUUGUAGUAAAAGGCUUCAAACAGAAGAAAGGCCUUGAUUACUUUGAUACAUACUCGCCAGUAACAAGGAUAACCUCGAUUCGAAUGUUAAUUGCCUUGGCGGCAGUAUAUGAUUUUCAAAUCCAUCAAAUGAAUGUGAAAACCGCUUUUCUAAAUGGAGAAUUAGAGGAACAAAUAUACAUGGAGCAACCUGAGGGUUUUGUGGUUCCAGGAAAAGAAAAUAAGGUGUGUAGACUUAUUAAGUCGUUGUAUGGACUAAAGCAAGCAUCUAAACAAUGGCAUGCGAAUUUUGACCAAACCAUGUUGGCAAACGGGUUCAAAAUAUAUGAAUGUGAUAAAUGUGUAUAUAUUAAAGACACUCCAAAUCACGAAGUCAUUGUUUGAUUAUAUGUGGAUGAUAUGUUGAUCAUCAGCAAAGAAAUUUCCGACAUAAAUGCAACAAAACGAAUGCUCGAGAGCAAGUUUGAUAUGAAAGACCUUGAAGUUGCAGAUGUGAUCUUAGGUAUAAGAAUCCAUCGAACUCCACAAGGGUUGGCAUUGUCACAGUCUCAUUAUAUCGAAAAGGUACUUGACAAGUUCAAGUAUAUGGAAUUCAGUAUUGCCAAGACUCUAUUGGAUGCGAGCUUUGCACUUCAAAAGAAUGAAGGUGAAAGUGACUCGCAAUUGGAGUACGCAAGAGUAUUGGGAUGUUUAAUGUAUAUAAUGAACUGUACACAACCAUACAUAGCAUGCGCUAUCAGUAAAUUGAGUCGGUACACGAGUAAUCCCAACAAAACUCAUUGGAUGGCAAUGAAAAGAGUUUUGGGGUAUCUUAAAUACACUCAAAACUAUGCUUUGCAUUAUAAUAAAUAUCCUGCGGUACUUGAAGGAUAUAGUGAUGCAAAUUGAAUCACCGGAUCAAACGAAGUAAAAAAUUCACAAGUGGAUAUGUAUUUACUAUCGGUGGAGGAGCAGUUUCUUGGAAAUCAUCCAAACAGACUUGUAUUGCUCGCUCUACAAUGAAAUCUGAAUAUAUCACAUUAGAUAAAGUCGAUAAAGAAGCAGAAUAGGUUUGGAAUUUCUCGAAAGAUAUUCCGUAUUGGCCCAAGCCAGUGGCACCAGUAUGUAUACACUGUGAUAGCCAAGUGGCAAUAGGUAGGGCAGGGAGCAUGACGUACAACGGUAAAUCUUGUCACAUACGACGGAGAUAUAAUACCGUUAGGGAACUUCUUUCUAGGGGAAUUAUCACUAUUGACUAUGUAAACUCAAAGGAUAAUGUGUCGGAUCCACUUACAAAAGGCCUAUCUAGAGAAGGAGUGGAAAGAACAUCCAAGGGAAUGGGUUUAAGGCCUAGGACGAGUCAGCAUGACGGUAACUCUACCUAGCAGACUGGAGAUCCCAAGAGUUAGGUUCAAGGAGAUCAAACAAAGUUGUGUCUGACAGGUUCGACAUUGUCAAUUACGCAACCCAUUCUCAUGAUGUAGACAAUGCAUAGUAAACUAGGAUAAGAUUUAAGGUGAAAAUUCUUUUAAUGAUUAUCUAAAUUUGGCUUAUUUGACCAAAUAGUUUAAUCUAUAGGAUUGAACGUUUAGAAAUCACCAAUGCAAGGGUGAAGUGGAAGCCGCUUCAAAGAGAAUGUUAGUAAAGUCCUAUUCUCUAAGCUCUCAUGAAAUCGGGACAUGUUCAUGUCUGAAAAGAACAAAACCAUGAGAACCAUAAACGUUAAAAGGAUGGUUGUGUGACAUGUAUUGUCUAGGUAUACAUUAAAGCUCGACGGUUCAAAGAUAUCAAAUCUACCGAUUGACCGAGUGCAUCCGAUGCAUGUUCACUAUGGAAAGUUCAAAGGAAAACCCACUUAUCCAUAUGCAAUCAGUCUUUACUUGAUGAUCACAUACUUGUCCGUAAAAAUUUUACGAAAAAUAGCCAUUCCCUAUUCAUAUGGGGGAUUUUUGGGUUCAUAGUAUAUGAAAGAAAUGCGAAUGGAAAAAUGAAGAAUAAAAUGGUUGAGGUGAAGGAGACACUAAAAUGGAAAGUGUACUCCCAAAUUAGAAAGUUUACUCUUUCUCCCACACUGGUGGAAGAAGAGAACUUGAAAGUAUUUAUAAUCAAGAACACUUGCUUCACAUGGCAAGUGAGGCAAGAAAUAAUAGAUGCCUCGCACCGUCGUCGUCGUUCGCUCAGCUCAGCUUCGGCUUCGGCUUCGGCUUCGGAUUUGGAUUUGGAUUUGAAUUUGGCAAAUGAUCGAUCGAUGAGAUAUAUCUUUUUGGACAAACUUUAUUUGAAUUCCAAAGAAUGCCAAGGAAAAAUGCAGUAAAAAUUUUUCUGCAGUUUCGGACCUCCAUUUAUAUAUACAUGCAGUAAUAGUUGCACUAUUUCAAGUGAACUGAUGCAUUGUUUUCGAACUAGUGCUUCAGAAAUGAUACAUUGUUCUGAACUGAGGCUACAGAAGGUUGCAAUAGUUCAAAAUAAUGCUUCAGAAAGAUGUAAUCCUUCAAUGAAGUGACACACUGACUCAUGAAAUGAGAUGACUGUUUAGGAAAAGAUGCAAUCUUUGAUGAACAAACAUGAACUUACAGCAAAGGUAUAACCUUUGGCGUGAACCAUUGCCUCUUUUUAGAAGAGGCAUAUUGUGGUUAUAUAAACCUGAUUUCUUCCCCAGGUUUAGUACGAAAAUUUUCAGAUUAAAAAACUCUCUUCUUGUCUCAAAAAAAUAUUCUGUGUGAUCACUCAAAACGUUUUGUGAGUUUGAAGAUAUUCCAACCGUUUGAGGUACCACUACUGUUGGUCUGUUAGCCAUUUUAUCCUGGGAGGAAAAAUUUCACAACCUCGGGUACAGUGAGAGGGAUUAUUUCCUUAACGAAAAUCCGUGAAUUCGGACGACUUCGCUAUUUUCUGUUUUAUCUUAAUUUCUACAAAAUAAAAUACACCUCUUGGAAAGGUCAUUUUGAUCUUGUGUUGAGGGUAUUUGAUAUACUUCAUUGUGUUCUUAUUUAUACUUGAACUCAAGUUGAAGUUGGUGUUGUAAUAUACAGAUUCUGUGUACCCAAAGUACGAACGAUAGAUAACAAUGCUUGUCUAUCUAGAAAGUAUUUUGAUGCAGAUAAAUUAGGAACUACUUUUGAUAUGAUAAUUAUGAUGCUGCUACAAGUCGUGGGAUGUGAACAGGAGGUUUUAAGUUCAAGUCGUGAAAAUAGCCUCUUGCAGAAAUGUAAGGUGAGGUUGCGUAUAAUAAACCCUUAUGGCGCAGUUCUUCUCUAAAACCCGUGCAUAGCAAGAGCUUCAUUGCAUCGGAUUGGCCUUUUAAUACUCCCUCCGUUUCAAAAAGAAUAACCUACUUUGACUUGACACAAAGUUUAAGAAAAUAAAGAAGACUUUUGAAUUUGUGACCUUAAAUUAAAGUUGUGUCAAAUGUACCAAAAUGCCCUUUAAUCUUGUGGCCCUAAAUAUGCCAUGUGGAAAGUUGAAAUUAAAAUAUUGUCAAAAAAGGAAAAAGGUUAUUCUUUUUUAAAUGGAUUAAAAAAAAAUAGGUCAUUCUUUUUUAAACGGAGGCAGUAGCACUUUUUAUGGUGCCUCUACGAGCACCACCUUUUGUAAUGAUGCAUAUUAACUAUUUAUAAUGUUUUUCCCUUUGAAACAAAAGAAAGUUAAUCGACAAAGUUGUCACACGCCAUUUAUGAUUUUGCAUGAUUGUUAAUUACUCACUUUUUCCGGUUCAAUAAUAUUGACGUGUACACUCCUUAAGAAUUAAUAAAUAUUAAAUAGAAUAAUACUUUUAUUAUAUUAUUCUUUUAAUUUAAUAAAUUUAAUGUGUUAAAAAAUGCAUUUGAGAAAUGUCUAUAACUAAUAAUAAGAGCAAAUUAGGAACUUAAUGAUAGUAAGUUUUCUCUUAAUUUUUUCAAAUUCCCAAAUUAAAAAUGAUCAUCUAUUUCUAAUGGUGGACAAGUUAUAUAAAAAUGGACGGAGGGAUAUUUUGUUGUCUAAGUUAGUUCCUAAUUUAAAAAGAACUAAAUAUCCAAAACACAUCUAAACUAUUUAUCAGCAUUAGUGAAAUACAGAGAAAUGGGUAUAGCAAGUAAGAGUUAAAAUCACAGAAAUGUGGUUCUAGAUGAAAAUUGUAGUAGUUAUAAAUUAUAAUACGAAACAUUUAUAAAAUAGGCACGAGGUUUUGUUAGAAUAGCAAGGAUAAAUAUUUUUGUGGGACAAUAAUGUCCUUUUUUUACCUAUCAAAUACUGCUAGAUUCUAGUAAUCAUUCCUUGAAUUCCGCAUAUAAUAAAAAUUUUAGUCCACUAAACUUUUCUUUUAUCAAAGACUACAAAUUAAAUCCUCAUUAGGUACUACUAGUAUGUCUAACUUGAAUACAAGUAAAAGCCAUAAAAUAACACUAACCGUGUCAAGGGAACCGUUCUCUUUCCUUCCCCUCUCCCUUCUCCCUAGUCUCAAGUUUCCAUCCACCAUGGAUGAAACUCUAACACUCCCUCUGUUACCAAAUCCACCGAGAAACAACCCUUCCAGAGAAAUUCUCAUGGAAGAUCCUAUCCCCUCGUAUAAAGAUGUUGCCGCAGGAAAAUUAAACUCCCUCAAUCAACCAGGACUGCCGAGGCCUGAUCUGGGAACAAAAGAAAGAUCUGAAGCCAAGGGGAUCCUAUUAUCCAAAGAAGACAAGCUACGUCUCUAUACUCCUUGGAUUCACUCAAUUAUCAUCAAGCCAAUAAAAGGAAACUUCAAUUUCCAAUACCUAAAAAGAAAGCUCGACGAUCUGUGGCAACUUUCAGAACCCCUUUGUCUCAUAGAUCUUAGAUUGAGAUUCUACACAGCCAAAAUCACCACCUUGGAAAGCCAAUCACGCAUUCUCCAGGGUAGACCAUGGUUUAUAGCAGGCAGUUACCUAUCGGUAAGAAGGUGGGAAUCAAAUUUUGUACCAAGUUACUCAAAGAUCGAUUCUACGUCGAUCUGGAUCAGGCUCCCACACCUUCCCACAGAACUCUAUGACGCUGCUAUACUUCAUAGAAUCGGCUCAGAAAUUGGAACCCUGCUAAAGGUCGAUGCAUGCACCUCAGCGGCUCUGAGAGGCAGAUACGUUAGAAUAUGUGUCCAACUUUUCCUGGAUGAACCGGUGACGCCUACCAUCACUAUAAAUUAUCACGAACAACUCUUUUACGGGGGAGAGGGCUUUCUCUGCAAAAAUUAUGGCAAAUUGGGGCACACGAUGAGUGGUUGUUCCUUUCCCCUGUACAAUCUCAAAUCGGCUGAAGCUACUACAAGCAAAGAUGGGGACUUUACAAAUACCCCAAUUGAAUCCAAGCUACCAUCGGAAGGGAACCCAUCAGAAUGGAAAACAGUAACCUUUGCCAAGAAAAAGAAACAAGGAACAAAAGCCCAACCCCACACGAAGGGAUUGAACACCGGAAAAACAAAAGCCCAGGCGACGGCUCCAGGUAAGUGCCCUAACCCUACGCUGAGCGGGUCAGCUAGGCCCACCAUCUUUUCUUCCACCUCCCUUAGGCUGAACCACGAACAUCCCUCAAAACCCAAUACGGGUACCAAAAGGAACAUGGGCCAAGUGUCUAACCAGGCCCAAUCAGCUCCCAGCCCUAAAGGGAAAGAAAAAACAGCUGGCAUGCAGAGGACCAAUUCUAGUGCCCCAAUUGGGCCACUUGGGAUAGCCCACAAGGCCCAACUCCUUUUUGAUUACCCCUCAAAUUUAAUUGCCCCUCUCUUCUAAACAUAGAUACUAAAAUGAAAAAGGACCAUCUCAGUGGGUCCCUAAAGCUGAGCUGGACAUAAGCAAUGAUAAGCCUACUGGCAUGACAACGGGAAGCUCUUGCACUUCCCCUUGUGAUUUGAUGGAAGGUAGCCUCAGUUCAAACACAGCAUUAAAUGCUAGUGGUCUUCCCAAACGCCAAACUCCUUAGGUUUCCUCAGACACUUCUCACCACCCCUUAUAUAUGGAGGAAUGCACGAAUAAGAGCAUUCUAGAAAUAACCAUGGACAACCACAAUUCCAACAUAACUAUCAGAACGGUCCCUCUAGCAUCGGAUCACCAACCAACCUCAUGGCUGAAAAUUUGUCUAACUAACCAGACAGUCCCAAUUCACCUGAAUGGGAGGGAAGAAAAAUCACCAUACUCAUCCAAGACCCUCAAUAUUUGGCUCAACUGGCAAUGGCUAGUUUGAACCAGGGGUUACAAACUUAUGGACCCAAUGUCUGGAUGGCCACACUAUUCCAAGUAAUCAACUCCCCUUUCCAAGAGGAGCUAAGCACAGAGUCCCUCUCCAGUAUUAUGAACGAAAUAAGCCUGAGCCACCCCUUUUUUCCAGCUCCCAACCCUGCUCUGAUGCUCCUGGGACCAUCCUUUGCCCCACCAUCGGAGGCACCCCAAGUUAUCCCACCUUUUUCUUUUGUGCCCUCAAUCUCUCACACCUAACGCUGGAGAGGAUGGAGAGUGUAAACACCCUCGAGGCACUAAAAUAAUCCGCUAAAGAGUUGGAAGAAUUCCUGUCACUGCUAAGAGUAUCAAGAACAGAGGUUCUAAACAUGGUCGAACCCCUAACUCUCGACUUCUUAGAUCCAGUCCAAGAGAAAGUGACCAUCCUGAUCCCACUAGGGCUAGGAAAACUGGGAGUAAGUUCACAUAUAGUGAACAGCCCGACGAAUGAAACUCCCAGGGUCACCUUGACCCCCUUAAAUAAGAAGAGGAAGGCCUCAACUUUAUCUCUCACCUCCAACCCCUAGGGGAAGGACAAAGUGAAUGUGACACAGCAUCCCUAUCCCCUGUACUCCAAAAUGAAGAACUGUAUAAUAUGGAAUGUUAGAGGAGCCAAAAAUACUGAGUUCAGGAAGCAUUGCAAGACAAUGAUCAACAUCCAUAACCCUUGCAUCCUUGCCCUUUUGGAAACCAAGAUGUCUAACCAUCAGGAUCUUUGUGAGGACGUGGGUUUUCAUAGCUACAUCUAAUCUGAAGCUUCUGAUAACUCAGGAGGUCUAGUCAUCAUGUAGAGGGAUGACUCCAUCUUCAUCUCCAUUGUCUCCAUCACUACUCAGUCUAUCAAUGCCCAAGUCAAGGUUAGUUCUCCUCCUGUAUCCUGGUUCAUUAGAAUUAUCUAUGCUAGUACAGACCUUAGCUCUAGGAUUAACCUUUGGGAGAAGUUAGAAAUCUUCUCUGACACAUAUAUUACCCCUGAAGGUAAGAGUUAGUUAGUUGGAGCGGAUUUCAAUGAAGUGCUUAGAGCCUCGAAGAAAUUUGGAGGCUCAAAAGUUAACUUCAAUAGAAUUAACAUGUUCAUGAAUUGCCUCAAUUACUGUAACCUUAUUGAUCUAGGCUUUAAAGGGAGUAAAUACACCUGGUCUAACAUGAGAUAUAGAAAUAGACAGGGGCUCAUUCUAGAAAGACUAGACAGAUGCCUUGUAAAUGAUUAAUAAAUCCACUCCUACCCUGAAGCCAUCAUCACUCACCUCUCCAAAACCCACUCUGACCAUUCCCCCUAUUCUAAACUUUGGCACCACUUCUGCCAUUGAGAAUAAGUCUUUCAGAGUGGAAUCUAUUUGGUUAAGUCACCAGGACUUCCCCAUCCCCAUUAGAGAUUCCUUCCAUAACUGUACUUGCAUUACCUCAGCCACUUCUGACUUUGAAAACAAGGCUCGAUCUUGGAAUAAACACAUUUUUGGGGAUAUUUUCAAAAAGAAAAAGCACUUGCUUGCAAGGUUGGCUAGUAUCCAGAUAUCCCCAAACUAUACUAAUAGUCACUUUCUCCAAGGGCUAGAACAAACCCUCCUGAAGGACUCUAAUAAUAUUCUCGACUUGGAGUCUGAAUUCUGGAAAUUAAAAUCAAGAAUUUCCUGGCUCAUCCAGGGUGAUUCAAAUACUAGAUUUUUUCACACCUCCACCCUGAACAGAAGGAGGAGAAAUAGAAUUAAUUCCAUAAUAAAUGAGAGUGGGUCCUGGCACUAUCACCAAAAAGAUAUUGAGUCUACUGUCUCCAAUUACUAUUCUAAACUCUACACCACUGAGCACACCCUGGGGUAUUCCAAGACUCAAUCGAAUACCUCCUCUGAGGGAUCCAUCAACUCCUCUGUACAUGACUUACUCCAGGUUGUCCAUUUUCCGGAGGAGGUCAAGAAAGCAGUUUUCUCCUUCAAUCUUGACAAAGCCCCUACCCCUGAUAGGGUCCAUCCGUUCAUGUACCAAAAGUUUUAGGACACUCUAGGCCCCCUCAUUGUUAGAUUUUGUCAGGAUACCUUCACCUCCUAUUCAGUGGAUCCUAGAGUGAACUCCACUUACCUGUGUCUAAUCCCCAAGUGUAGAAAUACCACCACCCUCACAAACUUCAGACCUAUUGGUUUAUGCAACACUCAGCAUAAGAUUAUUACCAAAAUCAUUGCCACUAGGAUCAAGCCCUUGCUGGCAAAUAUCAUUGGCCCUACUCAAGCCAGUUUCUUGGCAGGAAGAAAAGCCUCUGACAAUGCCAGCAUUGUCCAAGAAUAUGUUAUUCAUCUCUCAAAAAUGAAGGGCAAGAAGACUAACAUGAUUCUGAAAAUUGAUUUAGAGAAAGCCUUUGAUAGGAUUGAAUGGUCUUUUAUUAGACAGGCCCUCCUCUACUUUAACUUUCCCACUAGCCUCACCAAUCUGAUCCUCUCUUGUAUCUCAACUUUCUCCAUAUCCAUUCUGGUUAAUGGGGGGAAAACUUCCCCUUUUAACCCCUCUAGAGGCAUUAGACAGGGGGACCCUAUGUCACCCUACCUUUUCAUUUUGUGCAUGGAACUUCUUUCCAGAAAAAUCAACUAUAAGGUUGACACUUGGAAUUGGAUCCCCUUAUCCAUCUCUAGAAUUGGGCCUUCCAUCUCUCACCUUUUCUUUGCUGAUGACCUUACUCUGUUUGCCAAGGCAAACUCUCAAAGCUGUCACACCAUUAACAGAACUCUUCAUAAUUUCAGCUCCCAUUCAGGCCAAAGAGUUAACUAUAGUAAAUCCAAGGUUAUCUUCUCCAAGAAUUAUUCCCAAGAUACCCAGGAUAACCUAUCCUCUCUCCUAGAUAUCCAAUCUUCUACAAACUUUGGUAAAUAUUUAUUCUUUCCCAUUUUCCACAAGAAGCUUGUUAGGUCUGAUUUUCAAUUCCUCAUUUACAACUUCAAGAGCAAGCUUGCCGGCUGGAAGGCAAAAUUUCUUAACAUGUCUGGUCGGUUCACCCUUGCUAAAUCCACCCCUGCCAGCAUCCCUAACCACAUUAUGCAGUACAUCCAUCUCCUUACUUUCCGACAUAAAAUUAUUGACAAAACCCAAAGAAACUUUAUUUGGGGCACCACUGAGCUGAGGAAAAAAAUUCACUUUAUUAAGUGGGACACCAUCACUCUUACCAAAAAGGUGGAGGGCUGGAUAUACAUAAGGCUGAUAUUAAGAAUGCUGCCCUCCUCUGUGGACUGGGUUGGAGAAUGUAUUCCAACCCUAACACCUUAUGGGCUAGUACCCCAAUUGCUAAGUAUGGUAACAGGGGAAAAAAUCUUUACAAUAUUUCUAGGACUUGGUGCAGCAUUAUCAAGAGCUGGAAUAUAUGUAGGAAUGCUCUACAUUGGGCCAUUAAAGAUGGUACCAAAGUGGAUGGAUAGAUGGAUUCCUGGGAUGCCUCCCUUAGCCACUAUCAUCCAUGGUCCCAAUACCAACCCUCCUAACCCAGUUCUGGUUAAAGAUGUUUGGAAGAAGAGAAGAUGGGAUUUUCUCACUUUACCCUUCGAUAUCCCUCCUAACAUUGUUAACUUUAUCAAAAAUUCUUUCAUCCCCAGCUCCCACCUUACCAGGGAUACCCCAUGUGGGUGAUGAGGGGUAAUGAAACCUUCUCUUGUAAGAGUGCCUACCUACACAUUGCUAACAAGAAUAAAACCUCUCAAACAUCUAACAACUCUUUCAAUUGGAUAUGGAACCUGAACAUUCCCAAUAAAAUUAAAACAUUUAUGUGGCUCAUCCAGCAUAACUCUCUCCCUACAAACACUAACCUUUACAAUAGGGGCAUCAACAUUAACCCCUCUUGUCAUAAGUACAACAGCACCCAGGAAGACCAAUCCCAUAUCUUCUUUUCUUGAUCCAUGGCCAAAUCCCUAUGGGCUCAACUUAUUCAAAAGUACAGAGGUAACAUUGAACUCUACCCCAAUAUGUUUGACCCCAACAAUUGGCCUAACACUUGGGAAAGACCUAACAACCUCUACUUUGACACCACCACUCCUUGGAACAUCUUGUUACCCUUUUGUCUUUGGCAUCUCUGGAAGGUUAGGAAUGCCAACUCUUUAGAAAAUGCCAAGUCCCAACCUUGUUUCAGCAUUCCUCAUGCUGAGUAUAUAGAAUACCACCUUUUAGGAAAUGAUAAAGCAAACCACCCCAGCACUGUCAUCAAUCUAAGAUGGCUCCCCCUUACUCCAGUACUUUCAAACUCAACACUGAUGGAUCUUAUGUUGGGAAUCCAAGAAAAGAGAAAAUUGGAGGUGUCAUCCGGAAUAGCAAAGGUGAUUGGAUUAUGGGCUUUAGCAAAAGCUUUAGCCAUGAAACCAACAACCUCAUGGAGCUAAUGGCCUUAAGAUAAGGCCUAAAUUUAGCUCUUCACGAUAACAUCAAACCUUUAACUGUAGAGGUAGACUUAAUGGAAGUUUUAAAUAUGCUUCAUCAUGGUAACCCUCUCUAUGAUUCAAUUAUUAAUGCUUGCAGAUCUUUACUAGAGAGCUUAGAGAAUCCUCCAGUCCAGCACAUCUAUAGGGAGCAGAACAGGGUAGCAGACAUGCUGGCUAAGCAGGGAUCGAAAAAGGACCUUUUUGACAGGCUACAUGUCUAUACGACUCCGCUAGCUAGUGUAGGCAUAGUUUUUUGGGAAGACUUAGAAGGAAAAAUUCUCUCUCAUUCUGUAAAUGCUCAACAUGUAGUGAACCAAAGCAGCUUUAUUUUUGCGCCUGGAUAGGCACCUAUACAAACUCUUUUAAUUAUCAAUGCAUCUUUUUUAACUUACAAAACAAAAUGUCAUAAAAUAGGAGGCAGGAGGGUGAUAUGUGUAAAUCUUACUCAUAUCUAGUGAAAAGUAAAAAAUCAGUUUUUUUAUAGACUUUCGGCUCAAGUAAAUCAUUUCAAAAUAGGUUAUUGAAAAGUAAACAAAGUAUAAAUAAUAAAAAACGCUUAUGUCAUUUUUUUGUCAGUUUUAUAGCUAAAUUAUGAGUUUGCUGCUUUGUGUUUACUAUUUGCUCUAUCACAAACUAUUUAUAAAAUUCAAAAUAUUGGAUUCAAUUAGUGUGAAUGAAAAAUGAAGGGAAAGUCUUGGAGGAAAAGUGUACUCACUUAAUGAUAGUGAGGCAAGAAUCAAGAGGUGUCUCGCGCCGUCGUCGUCGUCGUUGUCGCUCAGCUUUGAAUUCGGAUUCGGCAAAUGAUUGAUAAGAUUAAUUUUUUAGACAAAAUUUAUUUGAAACUUGAAAAAAUAGGUGAAAUUUAUUAAUCCAAAAAUCCAAAGAAAAACGAAAAAUAUUUUUUUUCCAUAAAAGGUCAUACCCUUUGAGGAAAUGACACACUGUUUCGGAAAAGGAGUGACUGUUCGGUCAGAUGUAACUGUUUAGAAAAAAAACUGUUUUGGAAUGGACAGACAUGACUGUUCCGAAGCAAUACACCUUUCCGAUAAACCAUUGUUUCCUUUCCGAAGGGGCACUUGAUGGCUAUAAAUACCUGCAUAUUUUUCACAGAUAUGUACGAAAAUUUAAGAAUUGAAAAACACUCUUCUACUUCUGAAAAUUCUUUGUGAUCAUCUGUCGUUUAGUGUGUUCGAAGAAUCUGAACGUUUGAGGUACCGCCACAUUCAUAUUGUGUGUCAUUUUAUCUUAAGAGGAAAAAUUCUGCAACCUCAGAUACUUGAGGAGAAUUAAUUCCUUAAGAAUACUCAGUGAAAUCGAAGGACUUGGUUCUAUUUAUUCUUCAUCUUAUUUCCUUAAAUAAAAUACUUCUUUGAUAGUUCAUGUUGAACUUAUGUUGAAGGUGUUAAAUUUCAGUGGUGUUCUUGAAACUAAAUGUCUUGAACAAAAAUUGAAAUGUAGUGUAUAAACAUAUAGAUUGCGUAUCCGAAACAACACAAAACACGCCUCUAAUUAGUUGACUAGACCAAGUGUUUGAAUACAAUCGCCAAAAGAUUAGUGACAAUUUAAUUUUCUCAUCAAAUUUUGUCCUCACGACAACUGUCUCGUAAAUUUAGAGACGUGUUUUAAUAAAUAGUUCAGGUAGAUAAUAGUCUAGAGGCUUGAAUAUAAUCGUCAAAAGGUAUGUGAGAACUUAAUUUGUCCUUAACUUUUCGUUCACAUGACAGUUGACUCGUUAAUUUCAAUGCAUAUUAAUAAAAAAUAAAAAAUAUUCAGAUAGAAAAUUCGAGAAAAAAAAAAACUUCAACUAUGAUUUUUUUUUUCUCCUUAUUUCUUUAAAUUGGGACCUAGUUGUAUUUAGCUAGGGAGCUACUACUUACCCACUUAAUCCAUUGGAGAAAAUUGGGAUUCAAUGAAUUGCAUUCCUCCACCCACCAACUUUUAUUUAGCUAAAUACCUUAAAGGGAUCAUUUGGUAGAAUGUAUACGAAUAAUGUAAAAUAUGGUGUGUUAGUAGUGCUUGUAUUAGUAAUGCUUGUGUUACCUGUGCUUGCAUUAAUUAUGCUUGUAUUUUUCUUAUGCAGUGUUUGGUUUGAUGUAUUAGAAAUAACAAUAAUUAAAUAAUUUCUAAAAAAAAAUUUUUUUUACAAAAGAUAUCCUUCAUAUAUAUGUUGGAAAGGAUGUAAAUUUUUUUUAAGGAUAAUAGUGUUUUUUAAUCAUAUUAAUGCAUGUAUUUGAUCCAUUGCAUUGCUAAUCCCAUGAAUUUUGAGGUAUUAGUAAUACACACAUCAAUACACAAUAGAGUGUAUAACUAAAAAUGUAAAAGUAUACCAAAUAAGAUGUUAGUAAUAUACAUUAAACUAAUGCAUUCAUUAGUUUUCUAAUACACUCUAUCAAACGACCCCUAAUUCUGUUUCUAAUAAAGCUUCUAUCUUGACUAUGGAAGUCUUCUUAUGAAAGAAUAAAAUAUUGUAAAAAGAAAAGGUUGAAAAUAAGGUUGUUCCAUAUUUUAGGUGAAAAAUGGACCCCACAUAUUUGAGAAAGCAAGGUUGUUCCAUAUUUUAGGUAAAAAAUGGACCCCACAUAUUUGAGAAAGAAUUAUUUUUAAAUAAAGCAUCUAGUAUUCGUUUAAAAUUAUGACCAAAUUUACUACGGUACAUUCUAAUUUCAUGAGAUUUUGUUAUUCUUAAACUAAAUUUUUGCGUAUUUUUAUCAUUCUUUUAAAUCACGUGAUGUCUUUUGUCAAUCUUUUUAGCUGACGUGAUAUCUUUGACGUGACUUCAUUUUAUAUAAUAAAGAUAUCACGUCAGCAUAAAAGGGUGACAGGAAUAUAUUAAAAUUGAAUUCAGACGUAAUAAUAGAGUUCCAUAAAAUUAAAGUGUGUCGUAACAAUUUUGAAUUCGAGAAUAUUGGAUGCUUAUCUCAAUUAUUUACGAAGACUUAAACCUAAUUUUAAAUAUAAAAAUCCAACUAGGUCAGUCAACAAAAGGUUCUUUUUCGUCAACUUAUUAUAUUAUAUAAUUUCUUAUGAAUUAUUUAUUUAUGCUAAAUCGAUUAAGGUUCAUUUAAAUAUUAUAUAAUUUUAAAAUUAUUAAGAAAGUGUUCAUUUGAAGAUUUUUCAAAUUUUAAACUUUUUACUUCUACUCUAUGAGCUAUCUACUAUAACCCCCAAUAUUAAUAACCCAAGUUAUUUUUAUGUUUGGAGUGUUAAACUAAACUUAAAGUGUGUGCAUGCAUCAGAACGAGUAAUCUUAAUUGGUAAAGUCAUUGACAUACGAUCAAAGGUUAUAAGUUCAAUUCGGGAAAACAAUUUCUUGUAAAAAUAUAAGAAGAGAUUGUGUACAAUAGACCCUUGUACUCUUACUUCUUCCCAACAUCUUUGCAUAGGGAGAAUUUUAAUACAUUAAGCUGCCCAUUUUUAUGUGCAUGCAUCGAAAUAUCCUUUAAAUUUUAUAAUAUCAAAUUAAUAAAUUAGGUGAAAUAUUAAAAUGAAAGAUUUACUAAGUACUAAAUGUAAACAAUAACAUUGUUUUUCUAAUAAACUUUUUUAAAAAGUAAAAAAAUUAAAUUGAAACAAAAAGAGUAGUGGUGGUGUAGUACUACUAUAUCAUGUGCAUUCAAAUUUACAGUACACUUUAAACUUUGGAAAAAGAGAGAAAAAGGGUCCCCUUAGUGGAAUCUCUAGUCUUUAACAAAACCAUGGGCCAUAUGCUCUUGUUUGGAUGGUUAUCAUAAUAAUGUUUAGACAAAUUAUAUUUAUUUUUAUUAUUACGUAAUAUCAUAUAAUACUCCCAAUUUAACAAUUAAUCUAUAAAAUAAAAAAGUAAGAUAUGACCUAGAGCUAUAAUACAAAGGAUAAAUAUGAUUAUUAAUUAGAUGUUCUCUUUGUUCACUAUACGAAAAAUAAAUAUUUCAAUUUUAUGUUUGUAAAACUAAGAAAUAAUUAAUUAUCUAGCCUCAAAUUUGCCCUCAUGUUAAUAGUCCUUUUUCAAUGUAUUUUUGCCAAAACAAUGAACAUCUUAUAUUCAAAUUGUGAUGUAGUAAAAUUGACAUCUUACUUAUCGAGUGUAAGAAGUUAAUAUGGACAUUAAAAAUAGACCGACAGGUAAUAUACAACGACCAAAAAAAAAAAAAAAGAAAAGCAAAUCAAACAAUCAUUCUAGAUUGUCCAUUACAUAAAAUGAAACUUUUUACCGUUAGGAAACAAUAUAUUUAAUAAUAUAAUAACAUUUAAGCAAAAAUUUGUAUUUAUUAAACUAACAAUACCAUACAAUAAUUGGCAACAACCAUCCAAACGACCCCUUAGUGUGAUCUCCCAUUUUAUAAAAACCAGUCCCACAGACAUAGAGACUAAAAAUCAUAGCCCCAAAAAAAAAAAGAAAGAAAAAUUUGAAUACAUCAAUGGACAACAUAGAGAGCAUAGCAAAAGCUGCAAUGGAGAAAAUGAAAGAGAUGAACAUGGUGGAAAACACAAAGGAGAUCAUCAACCAAUCAACUCCAUUUGUAACCAAAUUCAUGAAGAUCUCAUCUGACUGGUUAUUCGAAAAUACAAAAGUGAUCAUCGUAAAAUCAUGCAACUGGCUAACAAAAACAGCUCCACAAGUGAUAUACACUGGAAAAAAUUUGAUUGAAAAAGCUCCAAUAUCAUAUACAAUUUCAAUAGGUGUUGUGUUGUUUUUGUUCUUACGUUGGUGUUGUGGAGGUCGAGGUAGUGGAGGAAAUGGUAAGAUGAUGAAAGCUCCAGGAAGGAAUAAUAUUAGGAUACAUAGAAGUAAGUUUGAAAGCAGUCCUAAAGCUUAUUUUCGCGAUCUACGAUCCAAAAAAUAGGCUUUUGUGAUCUGAUCUUUCUCAGAUGUUAUGUAUGUCACGAGCUUAGUGCAUCUUACUUCCCUUUUUUUAAGUGUUACAUAUGUUAUUUACUGGUUAGGGAAUAUAAUAUGCUUCGGAUCAGGAGUUUUUUCAUCUUUAUUUUCAAGUUUGACUAUGAAAUUUCUGAUUAUUAGGGAGUAAGUAAUAUCGAUAUAUGUAUAUGUUUUGUGAAGUAGGUACUUUGGUUGUGUAUUGCAGUACGUUUGAAUAAUAUUUUCUGUUUUAUUGCCGAUAUAUACAAUAGUUCUUGUAUGUAUGUGUUUCGGUUUCGUAUAAUGUUAUGUGAAUUGCAAAAGGAACUCCAGUAUAGAGAUUACUGAUUAUUUUUUGUUGUUGCACAAAAGAACAUCAUGGUAUUUGUUUGAGUAGAGUUCGACUACGGGGAUGAUUAUACGACUUAGUAAUUUUGGUUCAAAAUCUUAUAAAAAUAUAGUUCCCAUGGUUUUCCCAUCAAGUCAAAUUUCUACUCAUCUAAGAUGAACAUGUCAGUUAGUUCAGGGAACAAACAUUAAUAGUAUAUCGUUGGUUUUGUGUUGUAUUUACUUCCAUAUUUUCUCCUUCUUUACUUCUAUAUUUUCUUAGUUGCUCUUAUAUUCAUUACUUGAGUCGAUUGUCUUCCAAAAAUGACCUUUCUACCUCUUUAAGGUAGCUGUAAGGUCUCCAUAUACUUCACUUUUGCGACUAAAUAUUUAUUUUAACAUCAUGGUAUUUAUUGUGUGGAAUUUCAUCCAAUAGCAGCUUUAUAGCUAAAGUUGUCACUUUAAUGCUUCGGCUUAACCAUGAAAGUCUUGUGUCUAUUUGAAAUAAGGAAAAAAAAUGAAAAAGUGAAAGCAAUUGAAAGAAAACUUGAGGCAAACUUAACCUAUAAGUUAACUUAUUAGGGUCAUUUGAUAAGUCAAAAGUAGGAUAAGGUGAAGUAUUACAUGGUUAAAUUUGCUAUUAAAUUUAUAUCAUAUUUGGUUUAUGAUAUUAAUUUAUACCAUUCAAAUCUAGUUUUGGAAUAUUUCCUCUUAUCUCAUUUAACAUGUGAUUAUUUUAUACCAUUCCCAUAUGAUGUAAAUUAAUUUAGAGAUUAUAAUCUCGUGCGCAAUUUCAGAAUAAUUUAAUCUACAUAUCAA
rnacentral:lncRNA from 1 species